rnacentral:lncRNA from 1 species
CAAGAAGCACAGAAGAAGCUCCUAGCCAACACCAAUCAAAGCUUCCAUCCAAUCCCAAGCAACCUCGACGAUGUCUUGCUGCGGAGGAAACUGCGGCUGCGGCAGCGCCUGCAAGUGCGGCAACGGCUGCGGCGGCUGCAACAUGUACCCGGAGGCCGAGGCCGCCGGCGCCACCCUCCUCGUCUCCGCCACCGCCACCCACAAGGCGUACGUCCCUUCUCUUCUCCUCAGCUCAUACAUCAUCAUGCACUCGAUCGUAAUAGAGAGAAUAUGACUGUAUGUUGAUCUUGGUAUGGAUGGGGUACGUGCAGGAGCUCCAGCGGCAUGGAGAUGGCGGCGGAGAACGGCGGCUGCGGCUGCACCCAGUGCAAGUGCGGCACCAGCUGCGGCUGCUCCUGCUGCAGUUGCUAGAUCCAUCAUCGGUCAUGCAUGCACCGCGUGCAUCAUAUCUUUGAUCGAUCCAUCCAUCUACUUACCAUGUAACGCUACCUGAUCGAGGGUCUUUGUAUGUAUGUACGCACCUGCCUGCAUGAGCAGAGCAGGUGCCAUGCCAUGCAUGUAAACCCCUAAAUAAAAUCUCCCGUGGUUUAACCUAUAUAAAUGCGUUUGUGUUAUAGACCAGCUUCUGGCCCACGUUUACUAUCAACUUGCAAGGUGCCUGGGUUGUUAAUAGACCAGCUGAAUGAGCUUCAGGUGCUACAUUCGUGAAAAGGACUCGUGGUUUAUAACGCAUAUUGUAGCCUAGUAGCCACAUAUCAGCUGCGCUCAAUAUGCAGGAUUUCCAUUGGAUCAGAUCUUUCGCUUUGACGAAUUUGGACCUAGCGAAAAGGAUUCUUAAGCCUUCGCGCAAACAAGCAAAGUAGAAGCAAGACGAGGAAGUGGAGCUGUCGUAGAAGCAGUAGCUUCCCCCGACAAUAUACAAUACAACAGUAGCGACCAUGAAUAAAAAAGCCCCUUGUUUAACGAGUUCGCUGCUUUUCCCAGGCCGGAGAAGGGCAACUACUUAUUGAUUGAUCGCCUUUCUUUGAUAUGUGUUCAAUUUAGUAUAAUACAAACUACAACUAGAUCAAAGCGGAAGGGCCACUCACUAUAGAAGCUAUAACUAGAAAAGCCCUAGCCAAUAGUUUAGUAGUCGGCCAAACCCCCAUGCUCACGACAUGUUCUUGAUAUUGAUUGAGUUGGAGAGAGUCAGAGACUACCACGGAAUCCUUCCAUAGUCACCCCGGUGACCUUCGUCACCAAAGCGUCACAACAGUUUCCAAGACCCCUCAUAUAAUCUCCAGUGGGGAUCAGUCGGAGCACAUAAGAAUGCCGACCACUACAUAAGCCGCUGGCGGAGAAAGCUCGAAGAGCUUCCCUUCAUUCGCUUCGCGGGAGUCGCACACAGCACAUAGCUGGAAGUCAGAGGGCCCGUACUACCUGCCUAACCCUUCGCUCUGAGGGACCGUAGAACGGAAAGCGCCUUCUAAACAACUCGGCAGAAGGGAAGGGGCCUAUGUAUUUGCAUGACCCCUGCGGAUUUGACCCUACCUACACCCGGAGCCAACCCCCUAGCGGUCCUGCCACCACGCCGCAGAACAGGAGCUCGUGUGGAACCUUGGAUUUCUGGCAUAACAGCGAUGGAAGGUAUCAAAAUAUUACGGCCGCAUAACCAUAACAUAGUAUAUACGCUAAGGUCGGCCAAAAUAUGGACACCCGAAGGGCCCGGCGUGCACAAUCCUAUCCUAUCCGAGCCCGUCAUUGCAUGCACUUCGGACAGCCGUCCGUAGCAUCAUAAGGAGCACCUCCCUUUCGAGGUACCCAAAUGGAACGGUCUUUAUUUGUGUUGUUGGUUGGUCUUUCUCAAUGUGGUCUAUAGCACGAAUAACCAUUCUUUACAAGAUAGGGCCGUUCACAUGAAAGAAAAUACAAAAUCCAUUCUUCAUGGUCGGACGCAUUUCUCCAAAUCCUCCAGGAUCACAAGUGGAAUGCUAAGCAAGGGUGGGGAGGCUGCGAGCUCUGCGUCGAAUAGAAAGAAGCAAGCGGGGGUGUUGCCGUAGCGCGCCGGAGAGCAAGCGUAGGCAACCAAACUAAAUAAGGCUACAAAAGUAGCUAGCUAGCGUUUUUAAGCUGGCUGCCUUUUCUAGCGCGCGUACUCUUCUGUGGAGUCGCAAGGAACGAGCCUUGUCUUCCCUCCAACGACUAGCUCCCUUUUCUUAUUUCGGUCACCCUUCUCUUGUCGUGGAAGGACUUUUGCUUGUGGUGUGGUCCAACCCGUGGACGGAGUCGUCCUCAUCCCCCCAUUGCUCAGUGCUCCCUGCAGCUUCGCUGGGCUUUACCCGCGUGGGCGCGGGCUUCUAUAAGAGAAUGAAAAGCUCUCUUUUUACAAUAAAAUGCGAACCACACGGAGCCCACCCUUUUUCGUUUUUUGCCGCCACUGGGUGGCCACAGGGGAAACACAUCCCGGCCGCCUCUCAGGAAAGGGGGGUGGGCCUACCUAUCCCGAGGGAGCAGCUGAGAGGUUCAAUAUGCCGAGCCGAAGGGCAGAACUUCAAUGCGUGAUCAUAGUAUGUCACCUCGUCUCGUCCUCGCAGCAUCGAAGAGUACCUAUGCACUAUGUUCGGUUCACUGAUAAGGAAGAUAGAGUUGGGGUGGGGGUCUACGAUGUGAUACUAUAGUAUGCCCCGGGGAGAAAGAUGCGCAACUCAAAACGGAAGCAGGAAGCGUGUUGUCAAAAAUGUUGGAGGUUACCAGAUCUCCGAGACUACCAUUGAUCCGACAGAGCGGAACGACCAGAAAAAGAAGUGGAGUUAGAAAGCCGUAUGAUAGGUGGUAACUAUCUUGUACGGUUCGGGGGGUAAGCGGCGUACUCUGGGGGAAUAUUAGGCUCUAUCGACCAUACAGGGAAUUGGAGGUAGCAUUUUACUUAUGUUAAGUCAUGGACUAGUUUCUUCAGCCCUUUUUCUAUGUGUUGGUGUUCUAUAUGACCGACAUAAACUCGACUUGUGAGAUAUUAUGGAGGUUUAGUGAGCACCAUGCCAAAUUUCUCUACCAUUUUCUUAUUUUUCACUUUAGCCAAUAUGAGUUUACCUGGCACUAGCAGCUUUAUCGGGGAAUUUCUAAUCUUAGUAGGAGCUUUCCAAAGAAAUUGCUUAGUAGCCACAUUUGCUGCGCUUGGGAUGAUUUUAGGCGCGACAUAUUCCCUUUGGCUAUAUAAUCGUGUGGUUUCUAGAAAUUUAAAACCCGAUUUCCUCUAUAAAUUCUCUGAUCUAAUUGGUAGAGAAGUUUCCAUAUUUCUACCUUUUCUUGUUGGAGGGGCGACCGUCCGUUGAACUACCAAAAAAGGGUAAACCAAUGUGAUCAUGACAUUGUAGGAGCUUGCGAUGGGACGGAUGUGACUUCCCUCAUAAGUAAUGGGUGGCAUAGCUCGUAGCAGAAGUCCCCUUUUUUAUCCAUUUCUUUAUUACCCCAGAGGGGCCCAGCCUUGCGGGACCGAGAGAAAGAAAGGACGGGGGGCGACCAUGCAUGGCACUUCUCGACCGUGUCUCCGAGGAAUAGUUGAACGAGCGACUCAUGAAAGCUACCGGGUCGGACGAGCCAAUAACUCGAACGUGUUCAGUCAGUUUUUUGAGCAAGAAUCACAGUGUUACCUUACCUUCACCAUGAUACGGACUCCAAGUUCUUAUGGCAGAGCACGAGGAGUUUCCUUCAAUAUGAUGAUGAGAAUGGAAACCAGAAGCACGACUGGGUCUUCAUAGUCCGAGAUCAUACUUAUAUAUCAGUCACAGUAAUGUAAGCAUGAAAAUUUUUGGUAGUACCGGUGAACCAGAUGGCCGCAGCGAGGGAAUCUGGGAUGGAGGACUCGUAAUAUCUCUAUAGAUCUAGCAAAAGCGAAAGACCCUAACAUCAGGGGCUGACCAAUGAGCUCACUCAGGCCCCGCUGGGCGGUCCAAAGUGGGUGCGAGCUGGAAUUGCCAUAGCUUAUGGUUAGAGCAAUAGGAAAGGGCCCUACAGAGAGAACAGUCGGGAUAACGAGCGUGGAGCCCACUUGGCAGGCAGCAGGAGCAGCGGGCAAGUGCUUGCUUGGUAGGCUAACAGCCCUGUGAAUCGGGCGGGGCACUCGACGAAAGGGGGGCAUGCUGAGCAAGUACGCAAAAUUGGCCCUGUGGAGCUUUCAAAAAGAAAAGCAAGGACCACUACGGGAGGUCGAACCACGGACCGGAGGUAGUAGAACGUGAUCCGCACCGGUCAAUAUUGGAUCAAACAAUAGGGGACCAUAGCACUGACCCUUUUUUCAAGACAAUAGGUAUUGUUCCCUACCAAGACAAGGGACACUCUCAACGGAUCCUCCACGCGCUGGGCAUACCAUAGUUCUUCCGUUCGUCUUUAUCAUGGCGGAAACAGAACAAGAGGGAAAGACCCGGCCGACUCGCCAAGGGCUCGAGGGCGAGCCAUACGUGAGUGAGUCGAAUUCUGUUUACGUACUCGGUUUGGGUUCGGGCCCCUCUCGAUCUUUUGCGUAUAAGGGAAGGGGGAAGGAGUCUAAAUCUAUGGACAUUAAUGAACCACCAUUGAUGGACGUUGCACAUGACACAAGAAAUUUGACUCGACGAUCCGGUGCUAAUAGAAGUCGCUUACUCUCCGCCUAGCGAAGGUGCCAGAUCCUUAAAAUAAAGUAUCUAUCAGCCUAGUGUACCAACCACGUGGUACGACGGGCACUCAAAGACCUGACGAAUGAGGGGCCACCCCACCUAAGAGUGCUUAUGUCAUAUGGGAACUCUCGGCUGGAAACAAUCCUUAUGGUUUUUAUAUCCGGUUAGAAUAAUAAGAAAGAAUCAAAGUCCAUGUUGGUUGGUGAGCCUAGUGAUAGGAGACUAUCUAGCUUGGUUCAGAGAGCACUUGUUGGGUUUCAAAUUCAUUUUUUGCUAAAUGUUACGGCCUAAAUGUUGAACUAUUGACCCUACUUGUUCGGAUGGGUGUUCACCCCAAAGUGUUCCCGGACUGCAUGCAUACAUCCGUAAGUAACUUAGUGCAACAUGGCAAAUUUCAUUGAGUAGAAUCAGCAAACAAAAUAAAUCUUCUCCGGGUGACAGGGCCGCCUCGUUAAUAGACCAUGCAUAUUGUCGAGUUUUGUGUUUUAUAGCGCAAGAUUUUGUUUUUACAAAAGGUGGAUUCCAACAAGACACGAUGGUAUGCGUAUCUUGUAGUCUAUCUGUCUUCUUGAGAAAAUACAUUAAUGUCUCGUGGUGUAGUAGGUUAUCACGUCAGUCUAACACACUACAUGGCGAAGCCAAAUUGUUAUUGUUUUUUUUCCUGCAAAACUACAAAAUGCACCAAUAAAUCUUUGUCAUUUGCUAGUUUCCCAUUCUCGCGACUCUUAAUAUGAAGCCCAUGAAGACAUUAAAGAUAGCGGUGGACAGCUAAGGGCCUAAGGCCCAAGGGCGACUUAGGGCCCGUAGGUAUAAACCGCCAUAUAUGUAAAACGUGUAUUGUAAGGCAUGUAAAGAUAGUCACUGAGUCGGACACGUUGUCUAUGAGCCAUCCGGGACUCUAUGAUCCGCUGGGCGUCGACCUGUCUAUAUAAAGGGACGACCCGACGGCGGUUCAGGACAAGAAACAAGAGAUCGAAAGCUAGGUCAAGCAGAUUUGCUCCCUGAUAAUCGAGACAUAAAAAAUACCACCCAAAACUGGAUUAUAGGCUUUUACCUUCACCACAAGGGGCCGAACUAGUAUAAACCCUGUGUCCUUUGUCCUAUUUAACCCCUUUAAGCUAACCUAGAGGCGAUGGCUCCACGACUAAGUCCUUUCACGAGGACAUUUGUCGUGACUAUUCCACGACAGCUCUCCUCCCGAUGAGCACGUGCAGGUGUCUGAUCGCAUGCCUUCGGUAAUCAAAUAGCUACCCCACAUGGCACCUCCUAGCCAAUAAAAAAAGGAACGCGUGGUGGCACGUAAUUGGUAAGUAGAACGCCCACGGUUUCAAUAAUAGUUGUGUUUCCGAUUUGUAACGUGACAACACUUGUUCCAAAAUGACUUUGUUGAUUUUUAAUGUGUGCGUCUUCGCAAAUCGGACAGAAAAAUUACCACAGCAUGUUGGUGCCAUGUCAUGACACCAUGCCAAGUUUCAUGAUUUUCAGGCAUGUUUUGGACACCAUGCCAAGUUUCAUGAUUUUCAGACGUGAUUUUCAAGCAUGUUUUGGACACCAUGCCAAGUUUCAUGAUUAACCGCAGAAUGUUGGUGUCAUCAUGACACCAUGCCAAGUUUCAUGAUUUUCAGACGUGUUUUGGAUUUACAUCAAUUAAAAAACCAAGUUUCUCAAUCUUUCCGGCCGAGCCAUGACGCCCAGAUGUUUGAAUUUCAUUCUCAUUUCUUGCACGGGACUUAGAAAUUCACCCAAGAACACACAUGUGAUUUUUCAACCAACUUUGGUGCACUGGAGCAUGUGCUUGUAGUUCAAAUUUGAAUUAUGCAUAUUAAAUGCCCGGAAAUUCAACUAAUGUAUAAAAGAGUCCAAAUGAAUCCAGAAUAAUUCCACAAUUUUGCAUGAUACUUCUAUUUGGUCUAAUAUGCCCGUGUAAAAAAAUUAAGGUGGGAGAAGACAGUGUACGUAUGUCGUUUCGCACACGGAGGUGACACGUUCCCUCUCGGAACCACGAGCCUUCUUGAGAGAAGCUCCAGUUUGCAAGAAGCUUAUACCAAAGCUUGUCCCAAUUCGGCCAAAAAAAUAAUCGCAACAUGUUGGUGCCAUGUCAUGACACCAUGCCAAGUUUCAUGAUUUUUAGGUGUGUUUUGGAUUUACAUGAAUUAAAAAACCAAGUUUCUCAAAAUUUCCAGCCGAGCCACGACGCCCAGAUGUUUGAAUUUCAUUCUCAUUUCUCGCAUGGGACCUAUAAAUUCACCCAAGGACACACAUGUGAUUUUUUUCAACCAACUUUGGUGCACUAGAGCAUGUGCAUGUAGCUUAAAUUUGAAUUAUGCACAUUAAAUGACCAAAAAUUCAAUUAAUGUAUAAAAAAGGUCAAACAAACCCGGAAUAAUUCCAAAAUUUAGCACGAUACUUAUAUUUGGUCUAAUCUGCCUGUGUAAAUAAAUUAAGGCGGAGGAAGGCAGUGUACGUAUGUCGUUUCGCACAUGGAGGUGACACGUUCCUCUCGGAACCACAAGCCCUGUUGAGAGAACCUCCGGUUUGCAAGAGGCUUAUACCAAAGCUUGUCCCAAUUCGGCCAAAAAAUUUACCGCAGAAUGUUGGUGUCAUCAUGACACCAUGCCAAGUUUCAUGAUUUUCAGACGUCUUUUAGAUUUACAUCAAUUAAAAAACCAAGUUUCUCAAUCUUUCCGGCCGAGCCAUGACACCCAGAUGUUUGAAUUUCAUUCUCAUUUCUUGCACGGGACCUAGAAAUUCACCCAAGAACACACAUGUGAUUUUUCAACCAACUUUGGUGCAUUGGAGCAUGUGCUUGUAGUUCAAAUUUGAAUUAUGCAUAUUAAAUGACCAUAAAUUCAAUUAAAGUAUAAGAAAGUCCAAACGAACCCGAAAUAAUUCCAAAUUUUAACACGGCACUAAAAUAGUUCUAUGUUGCCUCUGUAAAAAAAUAAGGGGGCGGGAGGCAGCAUAUAUCGUUUCGAACACAAAGGUGACAUGUCCCCCCCCCCUCGGGAACCACGAGUCUUCUCGAGAGAAGCUCCGGUUUGCAAGAAGCUUAUACCAAAAACUUGUCCAAAUGCAGCCAAUUGUUUUACCUCAACAUGUUGGUGCCAUGAAAUGACACCAUGCUAUGUUUCGUGAUUUUCAUGUGAGUUUUGAAUUUCCAGGAAUUUAAAAAUCAAGUUUCUCAAUGUUCCUGACCGAGCCACGACGCCCAGAUAUUUGAAUUUCAUUCCCAUUUCUUGCAUGGGGCCUAUAAAUUCAGCCAAAGACACACAUGUGAUUUUUCAACAAAUUUUGGUGCACUGGAGCAUGUGCUUGUACUUCAAAUUUGAAUUAUGCACAUUAAACGUCAAGAAACUCAAUUAAUCCAUAAAAAUGCCAAACAAAGCCGGAAUAAUUCCAAAUUUAAACAUGACAAUCAUGUAGUUGCAUGUUCACUGUACAUAAAUGUUCUAGCAAUUCAAACACCAUCCCUUCCCUCCAUAACACUGAUAACCCACAAGUGUAGGGGAUCGCAACAGUUUUCGAUAAGUAAGAGUGUCGAACCCAACGAGGAGCUAAAGGUAGAAUAAAUAUUCCCUCAAGUUCUAUCGACCACCGAUACAACUCUACGCACGCUUGACGUUUGCUUUACCUAGAACAAGUAUGAAACUACAAGUACUUUGUAGGUGUGAUAGGAUAGGUUUGCAAGAUGAUAAAGAACACGUAAAUAAAAAGUAGGGGCUGUUUAGAUAAAGAUGCAAUAAAGUAAAUAUAGCGAGUGUGGAAAAGUGGUGGUAGGAGUUGUGGAAUUGUCCCUAACCAAUUGACUAUGUUACUAGACCGGUAAUCACUAUUGCAAUUCUAUUUGAGGGAGAGGCAUAAGCUAACAUACUUUCUCUACUUGGAUCAUAUGCACUUAUGAUUGGAACUCUAGCAAGCAUCCGCAACUACUAAAGAUUCAUUAAGGUAAAACCCAACCAUAGCAUUAAAGCAUCAAGUCCCCUUUUAUCCCAUAUGUAAACAACCUACUUACUCGGGUUUGUGCUUCUGUUCACUCAUGCCACCCACCAUAAGCAAAUCAUAAACAUAUUGCAAACCCUACAGCGGGAAUCCCUCACGCUUGCGCGACACGGAGGGCACCAUAGGACAGCACCAAUAAUAAAACAUGCAACUCAAACCAAUCAUAGCAAUUCAUCAAUCACCGAUAGGACAACGAAAAUCUACUCAGACAUCAUAGGAUGGCAACACAUCAUUGGAAAAUAAUAUGAAGCAUAAAGCACCAUGUUCAAGUAGAGAGUACAGCGGGAUGCGGGAGAGUGGACCGCUGAAUAUAGACGGGGGAAGGUGAUGGAGAUGUUGGUGAAGACGGCGGAGGUGUUGAUGUAGAUCGCGGUGAUGAUGAUGGCCCCCGGCAGCGUUCCGGUGCCACCGGAAGCAAGGGGGAGAGGGCCCCCUUUCUUCUUAUUCUUCCUUGACCUCCUCCCUAGAUGGGAGAAGGGUUUCCCCUCUGGUCCUUGGCUCCCAUGGCGUGGGAGGGGCGAGAGCCCCUCCGAGAUUGGAUCUAUCUCUCUGUUUCUGCGUUCUCUGAUUCUACCCCUUCACCGUUUCCUUUAUAUCUGGAGAUCCGUAACUCCGAUUGGGGUGAAUCUUUUGCUCAGAUUUUUCUCGUAAAAUUAGCUUUCUUGCGGCAAAAGUAGAGCAUCAACCAUCUUACGGGUGGCCCACGAGAGCCCAGGGCGCGCCCAGGGGUAGGGGGCGCGCCCCCUGUCUCGUGGCCACCUCGGACACUGUUUCGCGUUGAUUCUUCCUCCGGAAAAUCCAAAUUUUACAAAAUAAUUCUCCGUCCUUUUUAUCCCGUUUGGACUCCGUUUGAUAUUGGUUUUCUGCGAAACAUAAAACAUGCAACAAACAGGAACUGGCACUGGGCACUGGAUCAAUAUGUUAGUCCCAAAAAUAGUAUAAAAAGUUGCCAAAAAUAUAUGAAAGUUGAAGAAUAUUGGCAUGGAACAAUCAAAAAUUAUAGAUACGACGGAGACGUAUCAGCAUCCCCAAGCUUAAUUCCUACUCGUCCUCGAGUAGGUAAAUGAUAAAAAAAAUUGAUGUGGAAUGCUACCUAGCAUAAUCUUGAUCAUAUGUCUAAUCAUGGCAUGAAUAUUAAGAUACGAGUGAUUCAAUGCAAUAGUCUAUCGUUUGACAUAAAAACAAUAAUACUUCAAGCAUGCCAACCAAACAAUUAUGUCUUAUCGAAAUAACAUAGCCAAAGAAAGCUCAUCCCUACAAAAUCAUAUAGUCUGGCUAUGCUCCAUCUUCGUCACACAAAAUACUACCAUCAUGCACAACCCCGAUGACGAGCCGAGCAAUUGGUUCAUACUUUUUAAAGCGCUUCAGCUUUUUCAACUCUUACGCAAUACAUGAGCGCAAGCCAUGGACAUAGCACUAUGGUGGUAUAUGGUGGUGGUUGUGAGGACAAAAAAAGGGAGAAGAUAGUCUCACAUCAACUAGGCGUAUCAAUGGGCUAUGGAGAUGCCCGUCAAUAGAUAUCAAUGUGAGUGAGUAGGGACUGCCAUGCAACGGAUUCACUAGAGCUAUAAAUAUAUGAAAGCUCAGCAAAAGAAACUAAGUGGGUGUGCAUCCAACUUGCUUGCUCACGAAGACCUAGGGCAUUUUGAGGAAGCCCAUCAUUGGAAUAUACAAGCCAAGUUCUAUAAUGAAAAAUUCCCACUAGUAUAUGAAAGUGAAAGCAUAGGAGACUCUCUCUAUGAAGAACAUGGUGCUACUCUGAAGCACAAGUGUGGUAAAAAGAUAGUAACAUUGCCCCUUCUCUCUUUUUCUCUCAUUUUUUUUCAUUUUUUCUUUCUUUUUGGUGGGCUUCUUUGGCCUCUUUUUUUAUUUGGGCUUCUUUGGCCUCUUUUAUUUUUAAUAAAGUCUAGAGUCUCAUCCCGACUUGUGGGGGAAUCAUAGUCUCCUUCAUCCUUUCCUCACUGGAGCAAUGCUCUAAUAAUGAUGAUCAUCACACUUUUAUUUACUUACAACUCAAUAUUACAACUCGAUACUAGAACAAAGAUAUGACUCUAUAUGAAUGCCUUCGGCGGUGUACCGGGAUGUGCAAUGGUCUAGCAUAGCAACGACAUCAAAAAAACGGACAAGCCAUGAAAACAUCAUGCUAGCUAUCUUACGAUCAUGCAAAGCAAUAUGACAAUGAAUUCUCAAGUCAUGUAUAUGAUGAUGAUGGAAGUUGCAUGGCAAUAUAUCUUGGAAUGGCUAUGGACAUGCCAUAAUAGGUAGGUAUGGUGGCUGUUUUGAGGAAGGUAAAUAAUGAGUUCAUGAUACCGGCGAAAUUUGCUCGGCACAAUAGAGGCUAGCAAAGUGGAAGGGUGAGUGUGUGUAUAUCCAUGGACUCACAUUAGUCAUAAAGAACUCAUAUACUUAUUGCAAAAGUCUACUUAGCCCUCGAAGCAAAGUACUACUACGCAUGCCCCUAGGGGGAUAGAUUGGUAGGAAAAGACCAUCGCUCGUCCCCGACUGCCACUCAUAAGGAAAGCAAUCAAACAGCACAUCAUGCUCCAACUUCAUUACAUAAUGGUUCACCAUACGUGCAUGCUACGGGACUUGCAAACCUCCACACAAGUAUUUCUCAAUUUCACAAUUACUCAACUAGCACGACUCUAAUAUCACCACCUUUAUAUCACAAAACUAUUGCAAGGAAUCAAACAUAUCAUAUUCAGCGAUCUACAAGUUUAUGUAGGAUUUUAUAACUAACCAUGUGAAUGACCAAUUCCCGCCAUCUCUCUAAAAAGAUAUAAGUGAAGCAAGAGAGUUUAAUUCUUUCUACAAAAGAUAUGCCCACGCUCUAACAAAUAUAAAUGAAGCAAAAGAGCAUUCUACAAAUGGCGGUUUUCUAUGUGAAGAGAAACAGGCAAUCCAAACUUCAAACGAUAUACGUGAAGCACAUGAAGCAUCCACUACUAGGGAAAAGCCUAGCAGCAGCGCGGGUUUUAGGCCUAUCAGUAGCGUGGGCAGGAGCGCUACUGAUAAGGCGCUACAGCUAAAGCUUAGCAAUAGCGUGCCUAGACCCACGCUACUGCUAAAUUGACUUAGUAGUAGCGCUUCUCCAGAAGAGCGCUACUGGUAAUUAGUAGUAGCGCUUCUCCUUGCCCGCACUACUACUAUUAUUUAGUAUUUUAUUUCUUUUUUAUUUCAUGUUGUAUUCAUACACCUUUACACAAGUUUUCAUACAACAGGAAUUUAGAGAUUGUUUUUACAUCAUAAUGAGUUAUUACAUCACGGGGUGAAAGAACCAUGGACUAGUUUCAAGUGGAUGUCCAUCCACUUGAAACUAAUCCGCGGUUCUUUCACCCAAUGAUAUAAUAAUAUCAUCAUCAUCAUCAUAUCAUUAACAACUUAUCAUCAUAAUACAUCAUUGUCAUAUAACACCUCCUCAAGAUCAACUUAGCAAAUUGGUCACUAGUCGUAAUCACAAGUACUCCUCAUUAUCAACUCUAACACAUUACCACAUAAUAAACAUAUUGUACCUCAUAGGGCCUACUACAUUCGAUUAAGACCUACUACAUUUUCUAAGGUAAAAUAGCAAAAAAACAAGAUAGCCCCUGACUCUCCAUUAUGGAGAAUGGAGAUUAGCCUGUCUCCAAUUCUUUCCUUUCGCUGAAUGUUACUUCCAAGAACCUCCUUGCGAAUGUCCAUACAUUUCUUCCAUUCUUUGAUGAACAUGUGUUCACCGGUUUUAGAAAUCCGAUAUGCACAGGUGAGCUCCCUAGAUUUACCUGGUAGUAUGUUCAGAACUGUAAGGCGACCAUUCAGAUACAUCAGAUGAGGCACACAAUCCAUCGGGAGUUUCUGUUGAAAAACAUAGUAAUAACUUCAUAGUUAGCAAUGAUGUACUAGUUUUAGAAGUAUGCAAAAGAUGCACGGAUGUCGUAAUAGUAAAAAAUCUUACAAGGGUAUCUCCAGAGAAGUUACCGUGGUUCAACACGUGCACUAGUGGCACGUAUUCACCAUAAUUUGGAGGAGUUCGAUAAUAGUUAUUGUAAUCCUCAAGAAGAGUACAAAAUGCGAUCUGAUGAUUUUUCUCCUUAUAAGUUAAUUCGGAGCCAUCAGUGUAGUGGGUUUUGUCUACCAUCUUCCGCACAGUCUUUGAAGAAUCAAAAUAAGCUGUCAAUGGAAAUAAGUUGUCAACUAUUUUGAAAUAAACAUUAUAAAUUAGUUAAUAACUAUGUUUGAGAAACUCACAUAGCGGUACAAUCGGAAGCAUAUCAACAAGGACCCAAAUGUCCAUAUUGUCUUGCUCGAUGUCAGGAUUACCAAGAUCCAUGGUGACAAUCAUACCCUCAUAAAAACCAUACAUUUUGCAAAGUGCUUCCCAAUUUUGGCAACCAAAAUGGGUUACACUCUGAGCAUUGCACAAAUUUACUUCAAAAUCCAUAUCAUGAUGGGUCCUUAGGUGUAUUUUCUUUGUUUCAAAAUUUUCAUGGUCUUCAAAACCCAUCCUCUCCAAGACAUAGCGUCUUGCAUGGCAUGGGAUAAGCUAGUCAAAUUGUAAAAGAUGAAAAUUAGACGUUGAAAUAGUUGAAGUCAUGCUUAAUUACGAAAAAAAACACUUGUCAUUGUUCCGUACCGUUUCAACAUCGAAGGUCUCCUCGAGCUUAAUGCUGAAGCGCCGAUCUUCAUCCAGCUCAACGAACCUAUCGCACAUACCUCGAUCGUCGUGGCACCAGCUGCACUCCCCCGGGAGACUGUCGUCGUCCGAGUACGACAUUUCCUACGUUCAUAAUUCAAAGAUUAAACUUGUACAUAUUCUAGCACAAGUCGUGCCAGAAUUCACGGAAAAAUCCGGCAUGACCUUUGCGAAAAAAGGACAUAUCGAGCGCCUGAAAUUUGCCGGAACGGAAAUUAAUCAACACUCCGGCAAAACAUAGGCCACUCGGAGGUGUAACCAAAACAUGAAAUAAUUGAUGAAACUAAAAAAUAACAACAAAUAUGACAUGUUCAACUAGUUCUAUUAAUUCAACUAGUUCUUACUAAUUAUAAACUUACUAUAAAUAGAAAGAAACUAGUUCUUUCUAAAAAUAAAGUAGUUCAACUAGUUAUUAAUUUACUUACUAAACUAGUUCAACUAAAACUAAACUAGUUCAACUAAAACUAAACUAGUUCUAUUAAUUCAAUUCGUUCUUACUAAAUAUAAACUUACUAUAAAUAGAAAGAAACUAGUACAUCUACUACUACUAAUUAACAUCUACUACUACAUCUACUACUAAUUAACAUCUACUACUGCUAAUUAUACAACUAGUUUACCAUCACUACUACUAAUUAAUAUCCACUACUACUAAAAAUCAUUAUCUAUGAACCCUAAAUUAACAUCUACUAGUACUAAAAUCAUCUACUAACUAAGCAAAGAGGGAGGGGUAGGGGAGGGGUGGGGGGCUUACAGAGGGAGAGACGGUGGCGGGGAGGUGCUCAGCGACGAAGGUAGGGGCGGCGAGGGUGGGCUCGGGAUCGGGAGGCGGCGGUCCUGGAGUAGGUCGAGAGCGGCGGCGGGCGGCGGCGGUGAGGGUGUGGUCGAGAGCGGCGACAGGCGAGGAGGCGGCGAGGGUGUGGUCGAGAGCGGCGGCGGGCCGCAACGGUCAGGUUGAGUGCGGGCUCGGGCGGCGGCGGUGAGGGCAGGCUCGGGCUCGGGCGGCGGCGACAGGAGUAGGGGAACAGGCCGGGGGGUGAAAGGAGGACUUAGCAAAAAUUUUGAGCUGGGGGUGGUUAAGUCGAACUAGCAGUAGCGCUCAUAAGGAAAAUGCGCUAUAGCUAACUUAUCUAUAGCGUGUUCUAGUGAAAAAUGCUACUGCUAAUGGAAGCAGUUAUUUCUUUUAUUUAUCCCAAUAUCAGUAACGCUUUGUCCUGAAAAAAUGCUCUAAGUCUAAGCAAUGUAAAAACAUCAAAAAUAUACAUUGGUCAUCAUUGAUCUUUUUGUUUAGAAUCUAAAUAGUCAACAUGAAUCCUCACUGUACCUGUAUAGGUACAGGCGAGGAUUCAUAUUGCAGCCACAAAUCAUACACAUAUAGUUCAAUGAAGACCAAGUGCUCGAGAUAGGUUGAGAAGUAACAUAUUUAAGGUGGUAAACACCUUGUUCUCCUAGCAGUAUGGGACUAAACUUAAUUAGUUGCGGUGAUACUUAGCAGUAGCGAGUUUUGAUGAAAAACGCUGCUACUAAGUACUUUAGCAGUAGCGCGUCCCUUGGAAGGGCGCUACUACUAUAUCUAGCCUGGAGGCAACACCGUGGCAAUUAUAGUAGUAGCGCUCGUUUCACCUAGAGCGCUACUGCUAAUUAUAUAUUAGUAGCGCUCUUUACUGAAGCUUGCUACUGCUAAUUAGCAGUAGCGUCUGUUUUUAAACCACACUGCUGCUAAGAUUCUGUGUAUAAGGUUUUCCCUAGUAGUGAUUCUAUAAAGCCAUACUCAAAAGAUUUAAAUGAAGUGCAAUGAGAAUUCUAUAAAUCAACCAGGGACUAUCUCAUACCAGCAUGGUGCAUAAAACAAAAGUGAAAACUAAAUGCAAAAGACGCUCCAAAACUUGCACAUAAUGCAUGAACGAAAUGAAUCCGAAAACAUACCGAUACUUGUUGAAGAAAGAGGGGAUGCCUUCCGGGGCAUCCCCGAGCUUAGACGCUUGAGUCUCCUUGAAUAUUUACUUGGGGUGCCUUGGGCAUCCCCAAGCUUGAUCUCUUGCCUCUCUUCCUUUUCCUCAUAUCGAAACCUCCUCGAUUAGACACUUCAUCCACACAAAACUUCAACGAAAAACUCGGUAAGAUCCGUUAGUAUAAUAAAGCAAAUCACUACUCUAAGUACUGUUGCAAACCAAUUCAUAUUUUUUUUUUGCAUUGUGUCUACUGUAAUAUAACUUUUCCAUGGCUUAAUCCACUAAUAUAAAUUGAUAGUUUCAUCAAAACAAGCAAACUAUGCAUCAAAACAGAAUCUGUCAAAAAUAGAACAUUCUGUAGCAAUCUGAACAUUCACCAUACUUCUGUUACCCCAAAAAUUCUACCAAAAUUAGGAAAACUAAACAAGUUGUACAGCAAGACAGUGCAAAAGGAGUCAGAACCGUUUGACUUUCCAGUUAGAAAUGUAAAAUCGCACACUACAGCCAAAGAUUCUGUCCUGCACCAUACAAACCAACAAGCAUUGUAAACAUCCUAAAGGCAAACCUUGGCACAUUACUUUUAUAAUACAAUGGAAUUGUACAAGGGGAUAAUUAUUUUUGAUGGAAAGUUUCUGUAAUCAAGAUUCACAAAGUUUCCGUGAGCAUGAACAAAGUUCAAGGAGCUCUCCCACAUCAACAAUGCUUAUCUCUCUCACUUUCACUUUCCUUUUUGAAAAUUUUUUAGGUUCCCCUCUUUAUUAUUUUUUUGUUUUUAAACUAUAUGAAAGCACUCAACAGAAAUAAAUGACUCUCUAAAACUUCCGGGUUGUCUCCCUGGCAGCGCUUUCUUUAAAGCCAUUAAGGUAGGCAUAUAGUGCUCAAGUAAUGAAUCCACCCGGAUCCCAAGGUAUAUCAAAGCCAAUUUUAAUUAACAAUGAUUUGUAAUUUAGUAGUGAGCACAAAGUAUUAUAUAUCAAGCAACAACGAAGUCUAACUCUCUUCCUAUGCAUCGGCAUGUCAUAAAAGAACAAUUCAUGCACACAUAAUAAAGGCCAACGCAUAGUAUAAGUAGUUUCUUGCAAUUUCAUAGUAUGGGAAACAUAGAGAGGUGGAUAAAUAGUUCCUCUCUCAUAAUAAUUGCAAGUAGGAGCAGCAAGCACAUGCAUAUUACAUUCAUCAAAAUCAUCAUGUGCAAUGGUAAAAGGCAACCCAUCAAUAUAAUCCUUAAUAAGCAUAAACUUCUCCGAUAUAGUGUAGUAGGGAGAAUUCAGAAAGAUAAUAGGACUAUCAUGCGUGGGUGCAAUAGCAACAAUUUCAUGUUUAACAUAAGGAACUAUAGCAAGUUCAUCUCCAUAAGCAUAAUUCAUAUUGGCAUCUCGGCCACAAGCAUAGCAAGCAUCAUCAAAAAGGGAUAUUUCAAACAAAUUCAAGGGAUCAUAGCAAUCAUCAUAGAAUCAUCCUUCAGUAAGCACGAAGGGGAAUUAAAUAAUGUAUGAGUUGGAGGGUUACUCUCAUUAGAAGCUGGGCACGGGUAGCUAAUCCGCUCUUCCUCCUUUUGUUCUUCGCUCUCCUCAUCAUCUUUUUCCAAUGAGCUCACAGUUUCAUGAAUUUCUUCUUCCAUAGCUUCCUGCAAAAUAUUAGUCUCUUCUUGGACAGCAGGGUAGGCCUCAAUAUAUAGUUUAACAUAGGCAUUAGAAGCAUAAUUAUCAUAGCAAUAUUCAAGUAUGGCAAAAUUUUCAGAUUUGUAGAGAGUAGCAUCAUAUUUUUCAAUCAAAGAAGCAAUUUCAUAUGCACCCUUAAAAGCAACAAAUUCUUCAAUUUGUUGAACAUCAUAGUAAUUAUAAACACCCUUAGCAUAUGAAUAUACGAUUCCAUUAUCACUAAACAAGAAUUGUUAGGGAAGGUGUUUCUUAGGGUUUUCAGAACAACAAGUAACAUCAUAUAAUUCACAUAAAGUCCAAGCAUAGCAUUGCAAACAUUAAAUUUGAUCCCAUAAUAGUUUCCCUUUUUCAUAUAUACGGUGUCGCACAUAACAAGCAUGCUCAUCUAAAGAUUUGCCCUCAACUAAGCUAGUUGGGGUUUCAGCACGAGCACAAAGGGAUCGAAGAUGAUCCAAGUAAAAAGCUUCAGUAGUGUGAUAGAUUUUGAGUGGUUCUUCAACCAUUGGUGCAGUAGGUACAACUAAUUUUUUUGGUAUUUUGCGUUUCCUACCCAUAACUAAAGAUAGAAAACAACUAAGAACAGCAAAUAAAAAUUACUUAGUGAUAAAGCAAACAAGCACAAACGAGAAUAUUCACCCCACGCUAUGACUCCCCGGCAACGGCGCCAGAAAAAGGUCUUGAUAACCCACAAGUAUAGGGGAUCGCAACAGUUUUCGAUAAGUAAGAGUGUCGAACCCAACGAGGAGCUAAAGGUAGAAUAAAUAUUCCCUCAAGUUCUAUCGGCCACCGAUACAACUCUACGCACACUUGACGUUCGCUUUAACUAGAACAAGUAUGAAACUAGAAGUACUUUGUAGGUGUGAUAGGAUAGGUUUGCAAGAUGAUAAAUAACACGUAAAUAAAAAGUAGGGGCUGUUUAGAUAAAGAUGCAAUAAAGUAAAUAUAGCGAGUGUGGAAAAGUGGUGGUAGGAGUUGUGGAAUUGUCCCUAACCAAUUGACUAUGUUACUAGACCGGUAAUCACUAUUGCAAUUCUAUUUGAGGGAGAGGCAUAAGCUAACAUACUUUCUCUACUUGGAUCAUAUGCAAUUAUGAUUGGAACUCUAGAAAGCAUCCGCAACUACUAAAGAUUCAUUAAGGUAAAACCCAACCAUAGCAUUAAAGCAUCAAGUCCCCUUUUAUCCCAUACAUAAACAACCUACUUACUCUGGUAUGUGCUUCUGUUCACUCACUCCACCCACCAUAAGCAAAUCAUAAACAUAUUGCAAACCCUACAGCGGGAAUCCCUCACGCUUGCGCGACAUGGAGGGCACCAUAGGAGAGAACCAAUAAUAAAACAUGCAACUCAAACCAAUCAUAGCAAUUCAUCAAUCACCGAUAGGACAACGAAAAUUUACUCAGACACCAUAGGAUGGCAACACAUCAUUGGAAAAUAAUAUGAAGCAUAAAGCACCAUGUUCAAGUAGAGAGUACAGCGGGAUGCGGGAGAGAGGACCGCUGAAUAUAGACGAGGGAAGGUGAUGGACAUGUUGGUGAAGACGGCGGAGGUGUUGGUGUAGAUCGCGGUGAUGAUGAUGGCCCCCGACAGCGUUCCGGCGCCACCGGAAGCAAGGGGGAGAGGGCCCCCCUUCUUCUUAUUCUUCCUUGACCUCCUCCCUAGAUGGGAGAAGGGUUUCCCCUCUGGUCCUUGGCUCCCAUGGCUUGGUAGGGGCGAGAGCCCCUCCGAGAUUGGAUCUAUCUCUCUGUUUCUGCGUUCUUUGAUUCUACCCCUUCACCGUUUCCUUUAUAUCUGGAGAUCCGUAACUCCGAUUGGGGUGAAUCUUUUGCCCAGAUUUUUCUCGUAAAAUUAGCUUUCUUGCGGGUGGCCCAGGAGAGCCCAGGGCGCGCCCAGGGGUAGGGGGCGCGCCCCCCUGUCUCAUGGCCACCUCGGACACUGUUUCGCGUUGAUUCUUCCUCCGGAAAAUCCCAAAUAUUCCAAAAUAAUUCUCCGUCCGUUUUUAUCCCGUUUGGACUCCGUUUGAUAUUGGUUUUCUGCGAAACAUAAAACAUGCAACAAACAGGAACUGGCACUGGGCACUGGAUCAAUAUGUUAGUCCCAAAAAUAGUAUAAAAAGUUGCCAAAAAUAUAUGAAAGUUGAAGAAUAUUGGCAUGGAACAAUCAAAAAUUAUAGAUACGACGGAGACGUAUCAAACACCAUUUUGUCUUUCAAAACAUAAAGAAAAAAGGUAUACCACAAACAGUUUACUAGAAAGAAUCGUGUGGGAUGCAAUAUAAAACAUCUUGGCGCACCGUCUUGUCUGGCUUACGCAGGAAGCUUCGUGGUCUACAGUCCAUCGCUCCCACUUGAACCACACUUGCGCGCAAGUUUCUCGCGGCACCGAGCGAAAAAAAUUUGCCACCGUGGAAAUAUCUAUCUCCCCACCCCCUCCGUCCCACCAAAAGCCACAUUUCCAUUGUUCCACCUUGCUUUCCAAGUUCAAACCUUCACUUCUGCUUACUGGCAGCUCAGCCUCCUCGGCGGCGACCCUUCUUCUUGUAGCGCCACCUCCUUGCCAGCUACCCUUCUUCUUGCAGCUCCGCCUCCUCGUCGGUGACCCUUCUUCUUGCUGCGCGUCCUCCUCACCGCUGACCCUUCUUCUUGCUAUGUAGCCUCGUCGAUAUGGUCAGGUAAUCCACAUCCCACCCACACCAUCCUCCUUCUUUCCCGUCCCACAUGCCCCGACCGACGGCGCGAAACCUUCCGCCGAAAUCACUGUCCCCCUACUCCAACUAAGCACCGCCCACAGCCAUUUUGCAUGCAGUAUAACAUGGAGCUCAGUAGCAUAUGGUAGCGGAGAAGCAAAUUACGGCCGCAGACGCGCACGAGGUUUCUAUGGCUGCCAUGCGUGCCGACCGCCAAAACUUGGAGGAGCACCUUGUCUUCGAGGCCAUCAUCGACACCGCCACGCGGUUGUCCACUUUAAAAUACAGUUUGUGCUGUUUUCUUGAGGCCACCGCCAAUGUCUUCUAGUGAUUUGCCCUCUGUAAUGCUAAUAUGCAAUCUGAUGUUCAGUUUAUAGUUUGGUCCUCUGAAAUGUAAUGUUCAGUUAACAGUUUGGUCCAACAAUUGCUGCAUUUCGUAGAAGUUUUCUCAAGCAUUUUUGUUUUGUUAACUGUCUUAUCUUCUAGUACAUGUUUCUAUUCUGCAAUGUCGGGCUUAGUUAACUAUUUUGAUUCAUUUGGUAUGUUGUCCAUUUAACUGUUUGGUACAGUUCUGCAAUUUGAUUUCCAUUUGCUGUGGGUACAAUUUUGUAUUGUUACGCAUGUGAAAUAAAUUGAAUUUGGCUUUACUCAAUAGAUAUUCUAUUGAUAUUAUGACAACUCUUAGUUAACCUGGUCAAGAUCUUCCUUAUGUGUGUUGCUAGGAAACAAUGGGACACACCGCGGUUUACCAUCGAGGUUUGUUCAAGCAUGGUCCUUUGGCUAAUAGCACAUUAUUGUGGAUUUGCAGGAAUCAUUCUAAUAUUUAGGUUUCUUACAAUUUGGUCUUGCACAUGUAGGUCCUGCUAUCAGAGGCUUGGACCCACUAUUCGACCCAUUUUGCAUAUGAGGAAAUGAGAUGUCUGUGAAUAUAAGUCAAGUUAAGAAACUCAGAAAGAUUGUUAGGAUGAAGAAACUUGCGAAGAAUAACAGCAAGAUCUUUGUUUGCACAAUGAAGAAGACAUCAGUCAAUUAUAGGAUGGUACUAACUCUUUUACCUUGUUUUUACCCCUUGCACCAUCAGUCGACUAUAGGAUGGUACUAACUCUUUUACCUUGUUUGCAUAUCUUUGUUUUCAGAACUUUUCAAAAUAGUUCACCAAUGAUUACCUCUCAAACCACCUGCAUGGUCAAGAGGCGAGGAAGGUAUUCAUUCAACACCCACGAUACAACAUUGAAGUCUUGCUGAAGAGGACGAAGGUUGGACGGGCAAUUAUCCAUAGCCACUGGCCUAAAGUUGCAAGGACAUUCAACAUGACUGAAGUCUCAACUUUGCCUUCCGCUUUUGCACUUUCCCAGAUGAGAUUCAUCUAUCUAUUUACCGUGUAUGAUGCUAUUCCAAAGGUUUUUGAUGUUGCAUGUGUAACUUGGUGCUGUUGUGUAAUGGCAGAACUGAGUGCUGAAGCUAUUUGAUGUAAUUCGAUUAUGAAAUCCUGGUUGCUGUAAUACGGAUAUGAAAUAUCUAGUGUGUUUUAUAAGAAAUAUCAAUUUGAUUAGUACAUGGAUUAUCAGUAAUAGGCUAAUUACCCUGCUUAUUGGGGUUUUCUGUUGCAGACGGUUACUCAGACAACACCAUGGGCGAUGAACUCAAACAACACGCACAGUUUCUAGAAAGUAGGUGUGUUCGGUCAACUAACAAUCACACAUGGCUUCCGGUAGAGAAUUGUUUGCGUUAGGCCACCUUGCACAAAUGUUUCCACACAAAAAACUGUGUGAUAUACAUACGAGCGGAAAUGUUUUUUCUGGGAUUCAUCAUGUGGGAUGUACAUACGAACGGAAACAAUUGGGUUUCGAUGCCCCACCAGAUCGCACACGAACUCAUUUUUCCCCAGCCAGUGUGCCAGGAGGGCCUAUCCCCGACGGUUUCUGGGUCGUAUGGGAAGGACCCCCCCCCCCCAUCGCCCACACNNNNNNNNNNNNNNNNNNNNNNNNNNNNNNNNNNNNNNNNNNNNNNNNNNNNNNNNNNNNNNNNNNNNNNNNNNNNNNNNNNNNNNNNNNNNNNNNNNNNNNNNNNNNNNNNNNNNNNNNNNNNNNNNNNNNNNNNNNNNNNNNNNNNNNNNNNNNNNNNNNNNNNNNNNNNNNNNNNNNNNNNNNNNNNNNNNNNNNNNNNNNNNNNNNNNNNNNNNNNNNNNNNNNNNNNNNNNNNNNNNNNNNNNNNNNNNNNNNNNNNNNNNNNNNNNNNNNNNNNNNNNNNNNNNNNNNNNNNNNNNNNNNNNNNNNNNNNNNNNNNNNNNNNNNNNNNNNNNNNNNNNNNNNNNNNNNNNNNNNNNNNNNNNNNNNNNNNNNNNNNNNNNNNNNNNNNNNNNNNNNNNNNNNNNNNNNNNNNNNNNNNNNNNNNNNNNNNNNNNNNNNNNNNNNUAAAUCCUAAAAGAUUCCCAAACCAUCAGAGGAAUCCACAAAAGUACUUUUUCGCAGCUGCAAGCCUCUGUUCCCGUGAGAUCCCGUCUUGGGGCCUUUUUCGGUGAUCUUUCGGAGGGGGAAUCGAUCACGGAGGGCAUCUACAUCAACUUUGUUGCCCUUCCGAGGAAGCAUGAGUAGUUUACCACAGACCUACGGGUCCAUAGAUAGUAGCUAGAUGGCUUCUUCUCUCUCUUUGAUCGUCAAUACAAUGUUCUCCUUGAUGUUCUUGGAGAUCUAUCCGAUGUAAUCUUAUUUUGCGGUGUAUUUGUCGAGAUCCAAUGAAUUGUGGUUUUAUGAUCACCUUUUCUAUGAAUAUUAUUUGAAUCUUCCCUGAAUUCUUAUAUGCAUGAUUUGAUAUCUUCGUAUUUCUCUUCGAGGUCUGCAUUGUCUUAGUUCGAACAGUAUCACAAAGCCAUUUGCAGAUAUGUGAAAGUAUUUUUCUCUCAAAGAAAGGGAGGGCCCUUAAGAACUGCAGAUAGGGUGUGUCAGGUACAUCCUUGCUGGCAUGGGUAUAAAGAUAGCUUGUUCUAUGGUUAAGUUUAUAGACAUGAUCAUCUGAGCUAGUUCUAGCAAUGAUACGAAAAUAUAGCAGAAUAUGAACACACGCUUGUGGUUUGUGGUGAACUAAAACUACUAGUAGAAUGCCCGUGCGUUGCUACGGGCUUUUGAAAUAUUUUCCUUGAGUUAUGUGAACAUCAUUGAACAUACUCAUCAGAAUACCAGUUGGAAAUAAAUGUUGCCAUAAACAUUUAUCAUAAUUCCAGCCAGUUUGCUUUAUUUUGAGUGUGUUGUUGUUGUGGGAUAUCAUCACUUGCACAUUUUUUGUUGUAUAAAACAUGGUGAAUUUUUGUCCCCUUCCAAUGAUGUCGCCCCAAAAACCCUCUGAAUGGGUUUCUUUUUGAACCCGACAUAAUCCAUCUCCAUCUCUCUCAUAUUCUACAAAAUUAAAUACAUAUAUAGAAGUAUACCUUUUGAGUAUUAUAUCAUGUGCAACAUACUACAAAGAAGAACAAUUAUUUGCAUGCACCUCUUUUGGUUGUGUAAAACUCGUUGAAUUCUUAGCCCCCUCCAUCAUCGUUACAUCAGGGUCUUUGUCAGUCGACAUCUCCGAAGCACAAUCAAAUCCAUCAGUUUUUAUGACCUACAAAGGUAUUCUAAUAUAAACAAAGAUUAGAAUACCUUUUUUAUGAUGGUGGUAUGGAAAAUAUAUAUUCAUUGGACAAAUUCUAGAAAUGAGCAGUUUCUAGUAGAUUGAGUGGCAUCCCAAUUUUAAUAAUUUUAGGCUCACCUCUAAAUCACAUGUUGAUGGUUAUUCUUACGAAUAUCUAUUAUUUAGGGUAUGUGGUAUAUCGCCCUUAAAAUACUAUGUUACAUUUCUCCACGAGCAAAGAACGGAUUUCCCCUUUAUAUAAUGAUAGUCGGUCAUCCGUAAUUUCUUGGAUAUUUUUAAGUAAUUUAUUGAGAAAAUAUUUUAUGCCAUUCUGAAUAUAUAUAUAGUGUACACGUAUAAAUAAAGCUUUAUUUUUAUGAUAUUCCCAUUAUACCCCUCCUAUACAACUUGUUGUCCUCUCCUGCACGGCCGCACUCUAUCCACUCCCUCUCCGCACCACUCACUCUCUUGUUCCCCUCCCUCUCUAGAUCCAUAGACUUCACCGCCGUCGCUCACUCUCCUCUCUCCGCCCUCGCCACCACAACCAACAGAAUCGGUGACCUCAUCUCCCACCCCUCCACCCUUUCAUCCCUCCCCUCUUCUCACCAAAAUUAGUGAAGGGGGGAUCAAGAUACCAGAUGGUUUCCUGAUCCGCCCACAAACCGGCGAACAACAUCACGCCAAGGUCACCAACGCCGUCAUGAAAUGACAGGCUUCUUCCACCUCGACAGACUUGCUCGCGCACCAAGAUAUGAGAGGGGGCCUUCUACUUCCCGCUCGCUCAUCCCCUUUGGUCAAGCCAUGGAUCAACCUUCCUCUACUCUGACCCAUGCCAUGGACCGAGCGCACUUCCCUCCUCAAGGUCAUCUCUUCACCCCUUUCCUCGUGUGGCAUGUUGCACCGCUAACCCUCACCUUAUCUCCCUCCCUUUCCUCCCAUAUCGAGACAUGCAUGUGUUUCUGCUCGGCCGCUUCACCUCACCGCCGCCUUUGUGGCACGUCGGCCGGGAUUCUUCCUCAUGUCCGCUAGAUCCCAGCGUCGUCAAUUUCAUUCGACUAGGUCAAAGAAGAUGAAAGUUGCUGCAUUCCGUCAUCCACGCACCCCACUGCAAGACACCAAACACAACCGCAACAGCCGGCACGAACGCCACCCGAGAGAGAGUGAAGCGCCGACCAUCAGACACAAACCUUACCGGAUCUGAAGACCGGCAAGAAGACCGAGCCACCUGCUCCCCAGCACCGCCCAUUAGAGCGCCAUCGAGAUGGAGGUAGAGCAGAAGCAAAUUAUUUUGACGCGGCGCCGUUCACACCAUUGAUGCAGCACCUCUGGAAAAAAAAAACUAUGCCUAUCCUAUAUCCCUACCUGACAGAAACAGUUGUGACCUAUUUGUCUUGUUAAAAUAGUGGAUCAACAGCACACGAUGGUAUGUAGCAUGACUCUGCACAGAUAGCUUUCUUAUAAAUUUGUGGCAUGGAGGUUUCGUGGUGUAGUUGGUUAUCACGUCAGUCUAAUUUGUGGCAUGGAGGUUUCGUCAUGUAGUUGGUUAUCAUCCCUUCUCGAUGUAAUAGAGAAUGUAAUAGGCCUUUUGGUUCUCUUGAGUUAUUUUAACUUCUAUAUUGGAAAGAACUGAAUAUUAUGUACCUUCGCCAGAAGGGCUAAUGUAGUCCCUGCUAAAGUGAUCCUCCUCCUGCUAGUGAUCAGAGGCCGGUCUUUUGCUGUUGGUCUUCUCAUGCUGCGGUUUUCCUCUUCCUUAUGGUUUCAUUUGCCGCAGUAUUUUCUUUUCUUCUGAUUGCCGAGUUAUGUAGUAUUAGAUUGUCGAGUUUUGUGGUUUACAGCACAGGAUUUUGUUUUUACAAAAGGUGGAUCCCAACAAGACACGAUGGUAUGCACAUCUUAUAGUCUAUCUGUCUUAUUGAGAAAAUACAUUAAUGUCUCGUGGUGUAGUAGGUUAUCACGCCAGUCUAACACACUACAUGAAGAAGCCAAAUUGUUAUUGUUUUUUCUUUUCUGCAAAAUUACAAAAUGCACCAAUAAAUCUUUGUCAUUUGCUAGUUUCCCAUUUCAGUGCCUAUGUUUGUAAGUAUUCUUCCCUCUUGGAAUCUCCGUUUUGCCACUGUUUCUCACUUUCUGUGAUGUGAUGUGUGCGCAAAUAUUCCCACAACAACUAAACAAUAAUAAAGCCAUAUACGCAAGCGACCGAAUAAUGGCAACUUCAUAUUGCCACUCAAGGCGCAUCUCCAAACCGACCUGUCAUGUCCAUAGUUGCGUCUCAACACUCGGGGCAGAAAGGCUCGCUCUCAACCACUGCUUCAUAUCACCGGAUCCACACGGCCAAAUAGUGUCCUCCAUUUUCGAAGUGAUGACAGUAUAUCUCGUGGGAAAAUUGUUUCCACAAUUCGAUAUCCCUCCCGUUGAUGAAAAAAUCACGUUCGGCUUCGGCAUCACAGAAUGCACUUAACGAAAAUUGUUUUCUUCGUUCUGAGCUGGAAUAAUGUAUUCCCUCCCAUAAAAUAAAAUCAUCAAUAGUUCACUUCUCUAUAUACCUGGAUGGAAAGUAAUGGCCAAUGUGGAUCACCCAAGAUGGCACGCCAAGUGUUGUUUAACUCCACUAUGUAGACAAGUCAUUAUAUGCACACAAUUAUGUAAGAAAAAUAAAUAGGUCAAGAACUGUUUGGCCAUAGAUGGAGCUUUCUACAGAUGGGUACAAGAAUUUGGCACCACCCACUCAGUUUACCUCUCACCUUUUUGAUUGCUUUCAUAUGUAAAAAAUAGUGAGUGGAUUUGCGAUCUGCCUUAAAAUGACAAGACGGGGGUUGGGGGUUUUAAAAAAUUCCAAAUGCAUUCUUUAUAUUCACAUGUUUAUUUAUUUUGUAUUUGUUUGUGCAUGUCAUAAAAUCAUAAAUUUGCACAAGCAUGCAUAAUACUCAAUGAUCUACAAUGACAAUAGGCUUUAAGAUUUUUCAAAGCAUGAGAAAAAAAUCAAAUGACGUCAGCUGGAAAUUAAAGAUAUGUUCAGACUUCCAAACAAUUAUGAUCUCUUUGGUCCAAACUUCAAAGGAACCAUUAUUGAAAAUUUGGUGAUUCUAGUUGUUAGAAUAUUUUCCUACGGGACUAGUAGGGCUGGGAACCAUAAUGUUAUUCUAUGGCCAUGUAUUCGUAGGAAAAUUUAUGUCGAGCCAAAUCUUCUGGAAAUAAUUCCGUUAGUUCAAUGACAACUAUGUGCUUGCACCUAAUGUUUUGGAAAGUUCUUGUGUUUUGUUUUCCUUCUGCAGUAAAUCAACAUCCAUAUUUUAUACAUUACUCUAUCUUUAAUUCCCACGGGAUCCAACACAGCAUGGCAUGAAAUAUGUAUGUUAAUUUUUCCAGUUCCCUCUUUUAAAAAUGCCGCAAACAGAUGUGCCAUGUAAUCUUCAAAAAAAAAGUGGGAGUGAGAUAGUUAUUGAAAUGCAUGUAGGCUGGAGACUAAAAUUUCAGUAAAAUUCAGCUUAUAACACUAAAACUGAAAAGGUUGUCAAACCUAUGGCAACCAAGAGCCAGCAAGAUUUUUUAAAGAAAAAAUAUUUUCGGCGACCUCCACCUAAGAAGUCCUAGCUUUUUUCCUUGUCCUGACAUUCAAAAAACACUGAGUGAUGGUUAUCAGCCGAAUAUAUUCACUAAGGGCAUGCACGAAAGAGAGCUAUUUAUUUAUUGCUAAGGUUUCAGAAUUUAGUUUGAUUUUGAUUUAAUUUGAAAUUCAUAAUUUACCGAGAAAUACAACUAUAAAUUCAAGCAUCCCUAAACUAAAUAAAAACGUAUCUAUAUUUGGAAAAAUUUGAUGUUUUUUUAUAAACUUGUUAAAACAUGGAAACAUUUGACAUUUGAAAAAAAAAAUCAGUACAGCUAAUAUUUUGAAAAAGGAAGUUAGUACGUACACCAAUAAUUCGAUAUACCCACAAAAUAUUGGCCGUAGUUCCUUUAGUGGUUCCUUUGAUGUAAGAAACAAGCUAGUAGAGACAAAGGGAAUCAAAUCAUGGGAGGAGGUGGCCCUAUCCUUAUUCCUCUUCCCCACGCGGUUGCUCUCGUCCAUCCUUUACCAAAAGUGCAGCAUCUCUCAUCUCCGUCUUCAUCUUCUCUUCCUCCUCCUUCCUUGAUGCUCACUCGCCUAUAAAUAGCCCUCGCUGCCUGCCAUUGUUACUCAAGCCAGCAAGCAAGAAGCACACAGGAAGCUCCUAGCCAACACCAAUCAAAGCCUCCAUCCAAUCCCAAGCAACCUCGAGGAUGUCUUGCUGCGGAGGAAACUGCGGCUGCGGCAGCGCCUGCAAGUGCGGCAACGGCUGCGGCGGCUGCAACAUGUACCCGGAGGUUGAGGCCGCCGGCGCCACCCUCCUCGUCUCCGCCACCGCCACCCACAAGGCGUACGUCCCUUCUGUUUCCUCAUACAUCAUGCGCCCGCUAUAAUAUGACUAUAUAUGUUGAUCUUGCUAUGGGACUAAGGAUUGAUGGAUGGGUGCAGGAGCUCGGGCGGGAUGGAGAUGGCGGCGGAGAACGGCGGCUGCGGCUGCACCCAGUGCAAGUGCGGCACCAGCUGCGGCUGCUCCUGCUGCAGCUGCUAGAUCUAUCAUCGGUCAUGCAUGCACCGCGCGCAUCAUAUCUAUGAUCUAUCUACAAUCUACUUACCAUGUAACGCCACCUGAUCGAGGGUCUUUGUAUGUAUGUAAGCACCUGCCAGCAUGAGCAGAGCAGGUGCACUGCCAUGCAUGUAAACCGACCCCUAAAUAAAAUCUCCCGUGGUUUAACCUAUACUUGUGUUUGUACUAUCAACUUGCGAGGUGCCUGGGUUGUUACUAGACCAGCUGAAUGCUCUCUUGAAGCAACGUAUGCACCGCUUGGAAUCGGUGUAUCUUUAUACACCUGUGUAUUUAUUUUACAGGUGUAUAUUUUUCUUAGAAGAAAAAGGCUGCGCCCCUGUUCCAUUUCAGAAGAAACGAAACAACGAUCCAGAGUGUGUUACAUCAUGUAGCUCACGACGGACAGCAGGCACGCUGCCGCAGUAAAACGAAAAGCGUCACAACGCUACUACAAAGCCAGAAUAUAGCUAAAGCCAGAAAAGGAAAAGCGAACACACACAGCUACUGCUCAGCGAGGCCUAUGGUGAUACUACAGGUGCACUGUCCAAUACCAGAGGCUAAAAUGUGUCUCCACGCCUCAGCCAGGAUCUGGCCACAGCAGCAGAGGAGGGCUUCUCGCUUUCUUCUCCAACUCUUUCGUAGCCCACACCAGCUUGUCCCUGGCACAUCCUGAGGAAAGGCACUCCCACGUAGAUAGAUUUGACGUUGUUCUCCUCCAUAUAGCCUGCAAACCAGGCCAACAAACAUUAUUGAAAACCAUGUCGUUGCGAGUUUUCCAGAUCGCCCACAAUCCAGCCGCAUGGACAGUGUUGAUCGCAGCAAACUUGUCUCCCCUAAGCCAGUAUGAGGAGAUAGACAUCAUAUUAAUGUCUUCUCUCACUCCUGUAAGGGUACAGAUGGCUUUCCAGAAUUCAACAGCUACAACACAGGCACUGAAUAAAUGAGAACAGGAUUCUUGUUCAGAACAAAACACACAAGUAGGAUCUCCUACCUCCUGUCUUUUGCUCAGGUUGUCUCUAGUCAGCAAUUUAUUAUUGACCAAAAGCCAGAGAAAAAUUUGAAUCCUGGGAGGAAUUUUAAGGUUCCACACAGCAGGAGAACUAGUAGGCAGAACUCCUCUGAAAUUGAUAAAAUUAUAAAGGAUUUAACUGUAUAGACCCCUUUAGAAUUCAGAUUCCAAACAGGGGAGUCAUCCUCAUCUAUCAAAUGAAUGGAACUAGCAAUUUCUAAAAGCUCAAACCAAAGGGCCAUCUGUUCCUGGGUGAAGCAUCUCCUAAAAGUGAGCUUCAGGGUAUAGCCAUCCCAGAUUUUAUCUAUGGUGGCAUUAUGCUCAUUAGCUAGGUUAUAGAGAUCCCAAUACUGGGUAGCCAAAGUAGCAUUGCCAAACCAAUGAUCCUCCCAGAAUCUAGCCCUCUUGCCAUUACCAAUCUUCCAAGAAAAGCCAAUUUUAGCAGCUUCUGCUGCCCAAAGCAGUCCUUUCCAGAAAGGGGAGGCUCCAGCAGCAGAACAAGCAAAAAUGUUGCUAUUCUGGGGGUUAUAUUUGGAAUCAAUAAUAUUCUUUCAAAUCUUGCCCUCGGAGUUGUAGUACCUACUAAUCCAAGAAGCUAAUAGGGCCAGAUUCAUGUCCCCAAUGUCAGUAAUACCAAAACCCCCAAAUUCCUUCCUCAUAUUCAAGGAGUUCCAGGCAGUCAAAUGGUAUUUGUGAUGGCCCUCAUAAUCAUCCCAAAAGAAAUGAGCUAAUUGGGAGUUAAUGAGUUUAAUAGCCACUUAGGGAAUUUUAUGAAACCCAUCAGAUAAGUUGGGAUACUAGCUAAGCAGGCUUGGACUAAAAUGAGUCUCUUGCCAAAGGAAAGCAGCCUCCCUCUCCACCCAGCAGCUUUCUUGAUUAUCUUAUCAACAGUAGGUCGAAGAUCCUCUCUUCUGAUCUUGCUAAAGUGCAGAGGGGCACCCAAGUACUUAAUAGGGAAAGAACUAAUUUUACACCCUAAUAUUUGAGCAAAAACUAAAGCCUCGUCUCUAUCAAUAUUAAUAGGAACAAGGUCACAUUUAUGAAAAUUAGUCCUCAUGCCAGAAAUUUGCUCAAAGCAAGAUAAAAGCCAUUUAAGGUUUUUAGCAUGGUCUAGGUUCUUGUCUAGGAAGAGUAGAGUACCAUCAGCAUAGUGCAUGCUAAUGACACCAGCAGGAUUAGAGGGGGGGAAACACCAGCAAUUAAGUUUUCUUUAGCAGCUUUUAUCAAGAUUCUAGUGAAAACAUCAGCAACUAAGUUAAACAAAAGGGGGAAACAGGGUCCCCCUGUCUAGCUCCUUUACCUGCUAUGAAAUAUUCACUGUUGGUGUCAUUAAUUCUGACACCAACAGAUCCAUUGCAAAGUAAGGAUUCAAUUUUAUGCAUCCAUUUAGGACCAAAGCCUCUCUUUCUCAGCAUUUUCACAAGGAAUUCUCUACUGAUCAUGUCAUAGGCUUUUUCAUAGUCUAAUUUAAAGCAAAAACCAGACAUUUUGUUAGUGGCAACUGCAUGAACUACCUCAUGAGCAGCCACUAUGCUUUCAAGGAUAAAUCUACCCUUUAGGAAAUCAUUUUGGUUAGGAGAAAUGAGAAAGUUACAAAAACCUAUUGGUGGCACAUUUAGCAAAUAUUUUAAAGCUACAAUUAAUCAUAGCUAGAGGCCUGAACCUAUCAAGCUUAACAACAUUGGGUUCUUUAGGAACUAAGGUAAGGAGGGAGAAAUUGGGUCUGUACAAAUCAAGUUCUCCAGCCAAUCUCUGAAGAGAGCAAACAAAUCAUUUUUGAUUAACUCCCAGUAUUUUUGGUAAAACAGGAAAGGAAACCCAUAUGGCCAGGUGCUCCCUCAGCAUAAGAGCCAAAGACAACAGUCUUGAUUUCCUCCUCAGAGAAGGGUUUUUCAAGUAAAUUAAAGUGCUCAGGAGAGAGCAUACUAUUUUAAAUUGCCAAACAUCUAUGGCUUUGGUGGCAUUACAUUCAGUGUUCCAGGCUUUAUGAAUAACAUCAUCAAAACCAGGAAUUUCUAGCCACCAUUUCUCAAAUCUAAAAAAUUUAGAAGAAGAUUCAGGGAGCCCAGUGGCAGUAUUCAACACCAGAGGAGUGUGAUCACUCCCCACUCUGGGUAGGGCUUUGAUAGAGGCCCCAGGGAAAAGCCCAUCCCAAUCUACGGAAACAAAUACUCUAUCUAAAGUGGCCAUAAUUAAAUUGUCUUGGUUAUUGGCCCAAGUAAAUCUCCUCCCAGCAUUUUUAGUCUCAAUGAGCCCAAACCUGUUGAUCCAGUCAUUAAACAGAUCAGCCCAAUGUUAAUUUGUAUUGCCAGUAUUUUUCUCACUAGUGUUCCUAACUAGGUUAAAGUCACCCCCCACUAGAGUGGGACCAAACCAGCUAGAGAGAACACUACUGAGUUCAUUAAGAAAAUCAAGUUUUAACUCAUCAUAAGCAGAACCAUACACAGAGAUUAAUCUCCACAUGGUAUCACUAUGUUUGAACCUCAAAAUACAGGAAAUGCAAAAGGUGCCAAUAUCACACUGUAAAAUAUCAAAACAAUCCUCUUUAACACCCACAAGUAUACCACCUGUAGUGCCAAUAGCAGGCAGCCACUUCCAAGCAAAACCACUUCUAGUAUCUAUGGCAUCUAGUUGUGGUAUGGUGAAGUUGGCUUUUUUAGUCUCAGAUAAGCAAACAAAGUCAGGGCAGCAAGCUUUUAUGAGCUCCUGCACUCUAGUAUUCUUGGCAAAGCCAUUGAGGCCUCUGAUAUUCCAGAAAGCACCAAUCAUAGAAAUUAUUUAGAUUUCAUCCAUCUAGAUUGACACUUUUUAAUCCUUUGAUGGGAUACCUCCAACCAAGGGAUCUCUCCUUCCUCCCUAUCUAAUUAUUCUCAGUGCAAGAUGAAGGAUGCUUUCCAGUGUCAUUAUUAUUGCUAAGAAAAUCCACUCCAUUAACAUCAAUGUUAGGAGGAAGGAACAUGUGAGGGUUGUCUUUAUGGAAAUUGGGCAACCUCUCAAGUUCUUUUUGCUUAAUAAAAUUAAUGUUACUAUUAGUACUAAUGGGAUCAUUCCCCAAUUUUAAACCAGCUAAAUCAGCAUUAUGCAAAAGCAACUCAUUGUCUAAGCAAGCAAAGGAAUUCUGGGAAUAGACAACAGAACUACCUUUGGAUGAAGAGGUGUAAAUUCACAGGGUAUUGCUCUGUGAAACCAGAAUCCAAUCAGGGCCGUAAUGGUGUUUGUUACGUGUGAAUAUUACUGGGCGAAGUUGAGUGUGAAAUACAUAUACUACAAACUUAACACUUAUUAUCGCGUCAUAGUUCACUGGACUAUUUGCCCCCGAUGUAGUACUUCAUAACUAGAUUGCCAUGGUUGACGAUGGGCGUGUUCCCCUAGCGGCAACAUCUAUAUCAUGAACAGUUUAAACUUCACGAAAUCGGUGGCUUGAUGACUUAUGCCUUGGUGCCUAUAUGACUAUAUCGUACACUCUUUUGUGAUGACAAAGAAACAAACAUUAUUAUUUUUGGAGGUUAAAUAGAAACACAUGGAGUGAAUGAAAUGCAUGUUGUACCGGUAAGACAAAAUUUAAAACAUUAGAUCCGCUGAUGAUUUCCUUGAUAUAAAAUUCAGGUGUGCUCAACAACAACCCACCCCACCCGACCCCGGGAACUCCUAUUUGGCACGCUAUGAGGUGGCGAUCGAGCCCGUGUGCAUCCCCUUCCCCUGCGCGCCCUUUUGGCCUGCCCAAGCGCGGAGCGAGAUGUGCCCUUUUUUCCAUUUUGUUUUCUUAUUUCUUUUAUUUCCUUUUUUAUUUCUUCUUUAAAGUAAUAAAGGAUAUAAAAAAUUCCAAAUUUCAGAAAAAAAUCAAUUUUGACAAAAUGUUAAAGAAAUAAUAAAAUGUUCGUGGAUUCAAAAAAAUGAUCUUGGUUUUGAAAGACGUGUUCGCAUAUUCCAAAAAUGUUCAUGAAAUUGAAACAAAUGUUCACACCUUCAAAAAAUGUUCAAAAAACAAAAAAUGAUUCUUAAUUACGAAAAUGUUCAUCGAUUCAAAAAAUGUCCACUAAUUUUUAAAAUAAUUCGUCAAACAAAUAAUGCUCAUGAAUGUCAAAUUGUUCCCAAAUUUAAAAAAAUGUUUGUCGAUUGAAAAAUUAUUCACCGAUUCAAACGUUCAUGAGUUUCAAAGAAAAGUUCACAAUCUUUUUAAAACAGUUCAUGAUUAAAUAAAAUGUUCACGAAUUUGCAAACAUGAUUGUGAAUUUGAAAAAUAUUCACAAUUUCAUAAAGCAAUAUUGUUGAAGUUGGAAAAUGCUCACAAUUUCAGAUAAUGUUAAACAUUUUCAUGAAUUUAAAAAGAAGAUCAAAAUGAAAAAAUAAAUGAAAAUAAAAAAGAAUAGAAAAGAAAAACAAACAUGGAAAAAAGAAAAUAUAUAAAGUAAAAAGAAAAAAGGAAAAAGAAAAAUGAAAUGAAAUGAAAAAAAUGAAAAAACAGAAAUAACUCGAAAGGAAAAAGAAAUAAACUGGUCUGGAAAGGUCCAAGAACUUUCCUAAAACCGAAAAGGAGCAACUUGGGCUGGCCCACAAUGUGUACCUAGCGGGAGGGUGGUACGUGCUAGAUCGCCAACCAGCGAUCUACAUGCCGAAUAUGANNNNNNNNNNNNNNNNNNNNNNNNNNNNNNNNNNNNNNNNNNNNNNNNNNNNNNNNNNNNNNNNNNNNNNNNNNNNNNNNNNNNNNNNNNNNNNNNNNNNNNNNNNNNNNNNNNNNNNNNNNNNNNNNNNNNNNNNNNNNNNNNNNNNNNNNNNNNNNNNNNNNNNNNNNNNNNNNNNNNNNNNNNNNNNNNNNNNNNNNNNNNNNNNNNNNNNNNNNNNNNNNNNNNNNNNNNNNNNNNNNNNNNNNNNNNNNNNNNNNNNNNNNNNNNNNNNNNNNNNNNNNNNNNNNNNNNNNNNNNNNNNNNNNNNNUGGGUAGAGCAGUGGUCUAGAUUAAAACUCCUCAUUUUGUAAACGGCAGUGGUCUAGAUUAAAAGUCCUCAUUUUGUAAACGGCAGUGGUGUACCCAAGCACCCCUCGAGAAAAUUGUCGUUGCCUUGAUCCAAAAAAAGAAACCAAACACCCCCACCCCCUCCCACAAGCCUCUGCAACGAAUUGUACACAACCAGUAGUUUCUACAUUGAUGCAUAUGAAUGAUGCUUGCGGUACAAAUAAAAGGCAACUCAUUGCCGCUUACAACUCAAGAGCAAAAGGCUACUAAGAGUAGAGUUUGACAUAGGCUAGAGUAAGUGCAUUAUAUAUCCUUAAUUCUAGUGAGUGAUUCCACCCAAGAUUGCAAUAGAACACCAGGUCAACUGGCAAUCCAAUCCCUGGUGUUCUAUUACAUGUCGAGUUGAAUCCCUUAUUGCAACUAAGUAGUAAAAUGCUGCAAGGAGUAGAGUCUGAGAUGAACCAAAGUAAGUGUAUUAUAUAUAUCCUCAAUUAUAGUGUGAGUCUGAGAUUGCAACUGAACACCGGGUUGGCUGACGAAACCAAUCCAGUCCAAUCCCUUGUUGAACUAAAGGUCUAUAUGUAGUUAGGAUUUGCCUAACUAAAGCAUACAGUUCAACUUGAUAGAUCCAAUAAGAUUCGACUUGAUAAUCCUUUAAUUCCCAAUGGUUUUCAAAAAAAAUAUAGUUAAAAUAACUAACUCAAACGAAAAAUAAGUGAACAAUAAAACAUCGACCGACUCCACAUGGCUUCCAAAUAAGACUAUUUAACAGAUCAAGUAAUAAGUUGUUUAUUCCUUGCUCUCAAUAUGAGGUCAUACAUAACAUGUUUUGGUCCAUCCUGAAGUAAGUACCGCCUAACAAGUACUCCCUCCGUUCGGAAUUACUUGUCUUGAAAAUGAAUGUAUCUAGAACUAAAAUACGUCUAGAUACAUCCAUUUUCGCGAUAAGUAAUUCCAAAUGGAGGGAGUACUAGCUAGUAUUUCAGUCUCUGCUAGCAAAUGUUGCAUUAGCAAACAGCCUUGAUGGCGUUCUUCUUCUCACAGUGGUAGUCCUUGAGGUUGCCCUUCCUAUCACGUGCAAACACCUCGCAUGUGGCCUUGCACAGGGGCUUGGUGCAGAAAAACUCCCCACCGUCGUCAACGACCGUGCAGUUAUCUGCACAACACCAAGAAAACACAAACCAUUAUAUUAGAAGAUUAGCAGCAAAACCCCAUUAGAUUAGAUUAGCAGCACCACCAAGAAAACACAAACCAUUAUGUUUGACGAACACAAUUAAACACACCUGCAGAAAUAGGAGUACCCACUAGUGCUAGCACCACGAGGAAGCAAACAAUAGCAGCCCGUGUGUCCAUCCCAAGGGUUCUCUCCUUUUUUGAUCUAUAGGAAGGAAAAUAUGCGUUCUCUUCGUCUACUUUAAUUUGGCAAUGGGACUAAUGUUUAUGUCUUGGAGUACCUGGAGUGUUAUCUUAUAUAGACUUGUUAAAAGGGACAAAAAUAAAAGCAUUUAAACGCUUGUUAAACUUGGCAAAAGAGAUAGAGGUGAGUCACACCCCAAAAAUGGAAGCACUUAAUGCUGGGUGAGGAAUUAAAUGACAAAAGGCAAAAGAAUACAUGAGUAAUGUCUAUCCAAUAUUUAAGGCCUUUAAUUUUCUACUACAAAAUAGGCAUGACCAUUCAAAAAAUGGAGUCAUCUUUUUGUUGCCGGUGACAUUAAUAAAACAUGCUUUUUAUUAUAAAAAAUUGUCUAGCCACUUUAACAGUAAACACCAUUGUGCAUUGAAAUUCAAUUGACUGACUUCGGUAAAGAGUCUGCAAUUGGACUGGAGCAACGAUGUUGCCACUCUUUUACCCGCACGAACAUUACCAAUAAUGAUUUUUGAAAGUGCCUUGAGUCACCCAUGGAAAAAUAUGGGAAGCCUUGAUUGAUGAACACACUUGGCCCGAGGAUGAUCUCUUAGAAGUGCAGAUUGUGGAAUCACUUUAUCUUCACCAUAGUGUUGAUGAAAGAUUUCACCUCCAUAAAGAAUCAAACAAAUAAAAAAAACUGGACACAACAACAUAAACUUAUCAGAUCCGAAUAAUCGGAUCCGUGAGGAAAAAACUCUCUAAUCUCAUGGCACUACCACAAGAAUGAGAGGAAAUCUAUUCUCACAAAACUAUGAUGAUCACUAGACGUUGACGAAGAAUAAAGAGGUCUUGAAGAUCCGAGGUCCCCCCACCUCGGAGCGCCAAGAUGGAAGCCGGAGGCGAGGGAGCCUAAAUUUCUCAGAGAGUGGGGGCGGCGGCGACGGCACCAGAGGAUACACUUGAAUUUUUUUUAUAAUUUUUGUUGAGAAAAACUUGAAGGCUCAUCUGGCCCACAACAAUAGCACGCGCCCCAACUGGACCAGCGUGGGCCUCUGAGUAGAGCCCAGCUCGGCCCCGAUACGCGCUCUGGCCUGGACCGAGUCAGUCAGUGUCGCCUCGUGCCCUAGCGGAAAACAGCAGCAGGUGUUCCGCAUCUCAACCUACUCGCCGCCGCCGCCCGCCGCCGUCCGUCGUGGGGAGAGGAGAAGAGAAGAGAAGAGAAGAGAUGAAGCCGGUGGUGGGGAUCGUGGUGUCGAACAAGAUGCAGAAGUCGGUGGUGGUGGCGGUGGACCGCCUCUUCCACAACAAGGUGUACAACCGAUACGUGAAGCGCACCUCCAAGUUCAUGGCGCACGACGAGGCCGAGACCUGCAACAUCGGCGACAGGGUACGUACGCCAUUGACCCCUCCCUCUCAACUCUCAUGUCAUCUGAUGCUGCCUUUGGUGGAGCGGAUUUUAUGAUCCAUUACUUCUCCAAAUCGAAACCCAUUUCCUUCCUGUUGAGGUUAAUAAUGAAGGUUUCUAGUCUGUCCGGGGGCUUUUCUUUGGAUUCAGCCUCAUAGAAUUUAGUUUAAGUUUAAUGUUAAAAAAGGUCUUUGUUGGUUCACUGGCUCAUUUCCUUCAUUUUGAUUAGGUUGAUUAAGGUUUGUGGUCUGUCUGUCUGUCUGUCUAAUGACACUUGAAUUUUAACUUGUUAGAAUUUAGUCUAAAUUUAAUGAUGAUAGUUCAACUUGUAGUCCAGCUGAGAAAUUCAUGCUUUCUAUAUACAUGGUUUGUACUAUGCAUUUUAUUCAAUUCAUUCACUCCUUUUAAUUGGGUGAUUCUGCUGCAAACAAUGUUUACAUGUUGCUCUUGUAGCUGAGAAAUUUUGAGGUCUGUCCGAGGAAUGUAGCAGAUUUAUUACUAGCUUUUUACUCCAAUAGAUAGAUAUCCAUCAAUACAUGGUCUUGAACAUGUCACGUAAUGGCACGGCUGUUUUACGUUUCCACAAUACGUCAACCUAUGAUAUUAUCACCGGGCUGGAGCUAUCUAGAUAUUUUUCAUUGGGAUGAAGCUAGCUAGAUUUAGCAGUUUAUCUCCUGGCAUAUUCUCUUCUGUAAACUUCAAACAAGAUAGAUGUGGUUGACUUUCUUAGGCUUGUAAGCUCAAGAUCCAUUAAGCUAGCUAGUUUAUUGGAGAAACUCAAUUAUUGUUUCGUUUGCCAUCUUUAGAGUAAACAAUCUUGCCUCCUGAUCACUUGAGUGAUGAUGCUUGUUGUUAUAGCAAUGGUGAUCUUUUUUCUCCUUCCAUCCUUCAUAAUAUUCUAGGAUACCAUCGUUUAGUUUGAAAAGAUUGCUUGGACCUGGUGUUGUGUGCAUGUCAUGUCAGUUAAGGCUGCAAUUUGCUCAUAAUAUGUUUUCUGCUGAACAAAAUUUUGCUUUCAGUACCGAGAGAGAGAGAGAGAUCCACAUUACUUAGGAGCGGUUGGUUUUAUAAAGAAGCUUGUGUGACUGUGAAUAUAAAAAAGUUAUACAGUUGCUCUGUUGAAUAGAUUAACGAGUUUGCGUCAUUUUGUCCUGUGUUGUAUUCUAUUUAUCGGCUUACUUUACUGGAGACUAGGCUAGUGUUCUUUUUGCACAUUGAUUCAUUCACCCAAGCUGUAACAUAACAUAAACUAGAACAAUUUUCUUCUUUUCUAUAAUGGAUGGAUCAAUGUCUCUCCAGGUUAGGCUGGAUCCUUCUAGGCCGUUGAGCAAGAACAAGCAUUGGAUCGUUGCCGAGGUUCUUCGCAGAGCUAAGAUGUAUGUUGCGCCGCCACCUGCACCAAAAGCUUCUGGUGCUACAACUCAACAAGCUAGCACCAAGUCAUCUGCCUGAAAGAUCCUCAGAGCCCAACACACGGCCUGUUCUUUACUGACUGACAGCAUGUCCGAGAACCAUCUCAUCUCACUGAAUAAACAACGGCUGGUAAAAGCUAGUGGUUUCAAUGGUGCUCAUCAUGUUCAGCUUAUCAGUUUAUUUGUUUGCAAUCCGAAACUUGGUGAUUGGGAAUUAUGUUGGACCCUAUAGCUUCGAGUUUGCCCCAGCAAAAUUCGUAGGUGCAACUUAACCAUUUCCUCAUAAUAGUUAUCCAUACAUGGAGGCGGCCAUGGUGGCGUUCAUGCCGGAGCUGGGGCCGUUCGAUAGCUAGUGUGUUCAUUGUGGCUGCUGGAUUAUUGCCGUGACAUUAAAUAUCUAGCAGAAGAAGUUCAAGCUUGCUCUUUUGUCCUUGUAAAACAUUUGUUGAAUGUACCGCGCCGCACUCGAAUAUAUGCUCUUGGUUAGAUAUAUCAUCGUGGUGUGAUCCCUGAUCUUAUGCGGGUGUACUAAUCUGAAUAAACAUGUUGGUUGUGCACGUUGCAACGUGUGAUUAUGUGCGGGCUUUGACGGAAAAGAGGAGCUAUUCGUACUGAAAAAUAGUUCAUCACCGAAAAUGGGGAGAAUUUGUUUGGAAGAACAGUUGAGUCACGCUUGCAGUGAGCCAACUAUUAUAUACAGGAGUAUAAUUUUCUGGUUGGGCUGUGAACCUAAUUUUCUUCACAUGGCAUCUUUCUGUUCUUGUGGAUCAGUGGAUUAUUAUGUCCGCAUAUAUGUAACCAACAAGGCUCUGUUACUUUCCCUCAAAAAAAAACAAGGGUCUGUUACUGACUCGUUUGUAAGGUCAAAUGGCCUGCUAGUUUUGGAAGCUAUGAGUAGAAAACACCAGAAAGGUUUCGUGGUGUAGUUGGUUAUCACGUCAGUCUAACACACUGAAGGUCUCCGGUUCGAACCCGGGCGACGCCACUUUAUAUUUUUUUUUUGUCCAUUGUGUAAAAAAAAGAAGUAAAAAAGAAGAAGAAAAAAAAAGUUAAUGGCCCAUACAGGUCUCGAACCUGUGACCUUCGCGUUAUUAGCACGACGCUCUAACCAGCUGAGCUAAUAGGCCCUUUGAUGCUUGAAAUAUUUUCUAAUUUAUAUAUUUGUAUAAGUGAAUAAACCCCACCAUCAUGUCAAUCUUUGGUUUGCGACGUUUAUAGCCAUGGACGUAUGCAUGGGUAUAAAAGUUGUAUAUCGAUUUUAUGAUGAGAAGAGAAUUAUUAAGAAGAGGAUGAAUUAGAAGAAAAAUCGUCGCAGGGGGCAAGUAGGAAAAUUAUAUCUGCUUGGGAGCCAUCUACAAAAUACAACAAUACAUCUUGGUCCUUGUCUAGUUUCCCAUUUCAUUGUCCAUGCUUGUAAAUAUUUUUGCCUUUGAAGGAAAAAAUUGUCACUGCUUUCGACUUUAAUGUGACGCGAUGUGUCCGCAAAUCAUCACGCGAUAGUUACAUAAUAAUAAAGCCAUAUUGUACAAAAGGAAAAAAAAUACUCAAGAUUCCUUUUUUGUUUCAUUUUUGUUUCUCUGGCGAAAGAUGGAUGCCGGUGAUGAGCCAGCAUGCCAUGUACUCCCUCCGUUCCCAAAUACUUGUCUUUCUAGACAUUUCAAAUGGACUCAAUAUAUGGAUGUAUGUAGACAUAUUUUAAAGUGUAGAUUCAUUCACUUUGCGCCGUAUGUAGUCACUUGUUGAAAUCUUUAGAAAGACGAGUAUUUAGGAACGGAGGGAGUACCACUAGAAUUUUUACAAAAUUUCUUCCCUACGUUGAUUUUUUAUCAUGCACUAAUGUUUAAUGGAGUGGACUGCUUUACGAAAAGACUUCAACUUGGUUCUCAAGACCAGAGGCCUGCCUGAGGGGGGUGCAGGUGUUGUCUUGCCAGCUUCAGUUCGCAAGGAAAAGACUUGUCCUGCUACAAAAAUGAUGAUACUUGUUGAGUAAGUAGGAACAAAAUAUAGAAAGAACAGGGGCUGGGUUUCUGGGGAGAAAUUUGUGCAGUUACACACGAACAAAACACCGCACCCGACCUGCUACAGGUUUAGAAAAUUCAGCGAGUGGAAUUUUUUAAUUCCAGAAGAAAGGAUGAUUGCAGGAAAAGAUUUUAAAAAAAUCCCCAAAAAAGGGACAUUUGAAAAAGAUAGGUGAAGUGGAAUUUUUUUUAUAUUCCAAAAGAACAGGAAAUAUUUAAAAAAAACUCGAAAAAGGGGAAAAUUCAAAAAAAAGAAUGGGGCGAGAGAGGCUCGAACUCUCGACCUCAGGAUCACUCGCAUAAUUUAGCUAUGAACUAGGAGCCAAAAGGGAAAUAAUUUAAAGCCAUAAAGCAAAAAAAAAUGAACUAGGAGCCAAAAAGGAAAUAAUUUAAAGCGCAAAAGAAAUGGGCAUAAUAUAUCUACAUAUUAAAUAAAUUAAAAAAUGAUUUGCAGAACAAAAAAUCAACAUGAACAAGGGGCAUAUGCCCCCCCUCCUUAGGGCACUUCACCACGUUCUAUUUAUUUAAUAGUUAUUUAUAGUUGAGUUCUUUAACAGGAGGUUGAUCACGAGCGCGUGCGCUUAGUGUGGCCGGUGCAACGGUGUUCUUUGUCUUGGUUCGUGCCACGUCACUAAAACCACUGUCAGAAACACUUACAGUGCCUUGGGGGUGUUUUGUCUGGUAUUUGAAAGUUUGGGGGAUUAAGUACCCGGUUUUUGAAUUGAGGGGGUGAUGUGGUGGAAAUUUGAACGUCUAGGGGGUUAUAUAUAUUUAACUCGACAGCAAAACACAAGAACUUAAGAAGGCACCAAGGACUGGAUUUGGUACAAGAACCGUGGGAGCAUGGCCUGAAUUUUUUCCUUUCUAGGUGUUGUUCUAUUAUCUUUUUUUAAUCUUUAGUUUUGCUAUCCCGUUAUCUCUUAGUUGCAGUACCGCCUGUCUAAUCCAUCAUACAGAAAAAUGAAAAAAGAUGGCAAGAAGUUUCGUUGUUGCAUACGAGCUAAGCAACAGGAUAGUCUAAACAAGUUGACAUAUUACAUUUUAACUAGGAGCCAAAAGGGAAAUAAUUUAAAGCCAUAAAGCAAAAAAAAUUAACUAGGAGCCAAAAGGGAAAUAAUUUAAAGCCAUAAAGCAAAAAAAAAUAACUAGGAGCCAAAAGGGAAAUAAUNNNNNNNNNNNNNNNNNNNNNNNNNNNNNNNNNNNNNNNNNNNNNNNNNNNNNNNNNNNNNNNNNNNNNNNNNNNNNNNNNNNNNNNNNNNNNNNNNNNNNNNNNNNNNNNNNNNNNNNNNNNNNNNNNNNNNNNNNNNNNNNNNNNNNNNNNNNNNNNNNNNNNNNNNNNNNNNNNNNNNNNNNNNNNNNNNNNNNNNNNNNNNNNNNNNNNNNNNNNNNNNNNNNNNNNNNNNNNNNNNNNNNNNNNNNNNNNNNNNNNNNNNNNNNNNNNNNNNNNNNNNNNNNNNNNNNNNNNNNNNNNNNNNNNNNNNNNNNNNNNNNNNNNNNNNNNNNNNNNNNNNNNNNNNNNNNNNNNNNNNNNNNNNNNNNNNNNNNNNNNNNNNNNNNNNNNNNNNNNNNNNNNNNNNNNNNNNNNNNNNNNNNNNNNNNNNNNNNNNNNNNNNNNNNNNNNNNNNNNNNNNNNNNNNNNNNNNNNNNNNNNNNNNNNNNNNNNNNNNNNNNNNNNNNNNNNNNNNNNNNNNNNNNNNNNNNNNNNNNNNNNNNNNNNNNNNNNNNNNNNNNNNNNNNNNNNNNNNNNNNNNNNNNNNNNNNNNNNNNNNNNNNNNNNNNNNNNNNNNNNNNNNNNNNNNNNNNNNNNNNNNNNNNNNNNNNNNNNNNNNNNNNNNNNNNNNNNNNNNNNNNNNNNNNNNNNNNNNNNNNNNNNNGUAAAAUUAAUUAAGACUUGUCUCCCUCCUGGAGAGAGAAGAAGAGUAAGAUCACCGGAGCCAUUUUUAGUUCCUCGCUUAUACUGAUCUUGUGAAUCACAAGAAAAAACCAUCUUUGCUCAAUGGAGCGAUCGGCAAAAUGCUACAAGCCUACAGCAGAUCUUGGUCCUUGGCUAUCUAGAUUCCCAUUUUACUGUCCUUGUUUGUAAGUGUCUGUCGCUCUUUGGGCCUUUUUGUCAUUGUUUCGAUGAUUUGAUGCGUUACACAAAUCAUCCCUUUGUCGUUGUUGAAGAAUUAUGCACUGUAUGUUGUCGUUGUUGCACUUGGGUUAGUUCUUAAGAAAAGGGAUACCCCAUAUGUAACAAGAUUGGCUGCUCUAACCCUUUCUGUCAUCCCUUUGUCCCCUCUAAUGAUGUCUUUGUGAUUGAAAACUAAGAGAAUUUUUCCAUGCGAAAGAAGCGAUAUCGGCAGCCGUGUUGUAUAUGUUUAUAUCAUGUGACAUGUUACUAGAGCGGAGUGGGGUGCUUUAAGGAAAGAAGGGGAGGAUUUGCGAGGAAAGAAAGGAACAUAUGAGCGCGUUGAGAAAAGAAGGAGCCCGAGGUUUGGACUUGAUCCAUGGCACCUGAGGGAUGAACACACAGUGACUGCAGCCGUUUGGAACAGUGGGAGGACGGCCUGAAGCUAUUUCUGCUCCAGGUGCUGUCCGUUAUCUUCUUUUUGUUUUGUUGUUCUUCUCUUGAAUUGCAGUACCGCCGGCCUAAUCCAUCGUAUGGAAAAAAUGAAAAGGAAAAAGUUGGCAUGAUGUUUCGUGGUUUCAUACGAGCUAAGCACCAGGAAAGUGGAAACAAGUGCAGAUCUAUUACAGUUUAAACAGGAGCCAAAACUGAAAUAAAUUAAAUCCAUGACAGCAAAAAAAUGGGGCGAGAGAGGCUCAAACUCUCGACCUCAGGAUCACUCGCUUUAGCUAUGAGACCUACGCGCCCCCUUAUGCUCACUUCUCAAAUCUACCUUUAUUGUACCUUUGUAAGUUUCUUAUCUGUGUUGGAACCAUUGGGCAAUUCUUGACAAAAUGGUCAAUCAGUUCACGGAGGCAUGAAGCUUACUUCGAUACAGAUCAGGUGUGCCCAUCAAGGUGUACCAUGCAUGUGAUCAAGCCCUUGCACUUUUUUUCGUUAGUUUCACGUCCCAGCAAAUUAAACCAAGCUCAGUCUUUCGGAGGUGCUCAUAGGGAUAGGGUGUGUGCGUUCAUAUGGGUGAGUGUAUGCGUGUGUAUAUGAACGCUUGCGUCUGCACUGUGUCCAAACAAAUAAACCAAGCACCAGGAAUGAAAACAGAUAGUGUCCGACAGGCUGCAAUAACAAAAUAUUUGUUCAUAACAUGAUCCAUGUAUGGAUACAUCGACCCCAUCUCACCUCACCGCAUCAAGAUAAUAAACAUUAAGCAACGAUACAAUACUCACCUUGAAGCGGCAGGGUGCUCCGAUUUAGGGUUGUUCUGACAAUUUAGAGGAGGAGCUUCGACAAUCAUUUGUUUUAUUCGUCUGGGAACUCCGCUAUGCGUGAGACUCUGAAUUUUUAUUGUUUUAUGCUUAUGUUCAGAGUGCAGGUGUCAAUGCUCUGGAGCACCUGGACAUCCAGCAUCAACUUGAGAUUGAAGAGGGGAGAGGUGUGGCUGAUCUCGGGAGUAGAAAAUCCAGUCUCGGAUUACAAUCCACUCAAACUUCUUUUUCAAAUUCCUGUGACUUCCCUAUGGUGCAUCAAACAUCAUUUGCUAAUUCCUACAAGCUUCUAAGAAUAAACAUGUCAUGACACUCCAAUCCUACCAUUUUCCUAUUCAAAUGUCAAUAAAAUCCUAUGAAUCAAAGAGGCCUUAAUUCAGUAUGUCUCUGUUCGGCAAGAGCAGAUAGUAUAAAUUGUCACACAAUGAUUAAUUAUUAUGUUGAUGUUAAUAUAUAGACAUGCGAACACAUCAAGCAAGCAAGAGAAUGAACCCAAUAAGAUGCCUGAAGAAUAGGCCUACGCCUAGAGAAAGAGAUGCCUGAAAAUAGUAAGUACUCCCUCCAUCCGGAUAAACUUGUCCCAAGCUUGUUUCUCAAAUGGAUGUAUCUAGCACUAACUUGAUGCUAGAUACAUCUAUUCGAGGGACAAGCUUUUUCGGACGGAGGGAAUACAAAAACACUGCACGUGCGCAUAGCUAUCCAGCAGAAAAUUUCCCACUCAUAUCAAAUCCAGCAGCAAGAUACACACGACUAUUUGGCUGAAAACUAGCUUUGAAGCAAAACUUACAUGUUGUUGUCAUGUGGCGCUCAAAAUCUUACCAUGUGUGUGUAUGUAUUUUGGAAAAAUUAUGCAAUGUACUCCCACCGUUCCUAAAUAUAAGUCUUUGUAAAGAUUCCACUAGAUAGACUACAUACGGAGCAAAAUGGAUGAAUCUACACUUAAAAUACAUCUAUAUACAUCCGUAUGUGGUUUAUAGUAAAAUCUCUACAAAGACUUAUAUUUAGAAACGGAGGGAGUAUGUUGCUGUGCUUGGUUUGAUUCUGGGAAUCUUCUUAUUCCAGAAGAAAUGAUGGUUGUAGGAAAAAAAAUAGAAUGAAAAAUCUCAAGAAAAAAAGGAACAAGUAGGAUUUUUUAUAUUCCAGAAGAAAGGAUGGUUGCAGGAAAUACUUUUUUAAAAAAUUCUCGAAAAAAGGGAAAAUUCAAAAAAAAAAGAAAAGAAUGGGGCGAGAGAGGCUCGAACUCUCGACCUCAGGAUCACUCGCAUAAUUUAGCUAUGAGACCUACGCGCUAGCCAACUGCGCCACCGCCCCCUUGUGUUCUGCCUCUCAAAUCAAAUAUUAUUGUCCGUUGACGUCUCUUAUCUGUGGUGCAACCUACAGUCAAUUCUGGACACAGUAAAGGACAAUCAGUUUGUGGAGCCUACUUGGGUAAUAGAUAGGAUGUGCCCGUCAAAGUGUACUUUCGGGGCACAAACAAGGCCAGGAGCCCUUGCACUUGUCUUGUUCAGUUUCAUGUCCCAGCAAAUUAAACCAUGCGCCAGGAAUGAAAACAGAUAGUGGCCGGCAGGCUGCCAUAACAAUUUUUUUCUUUCAUAACAUGAUCCAUGCAUUGAUACAUACAUCGAUCACCUCUCACCUCUCACCGCAUCAAGAUAAACAUUAAUCAACGAUGCAAUACUCACCUUGGAGGAGAGAAGAUCACGGAAGAACGUUGUUGAGUAACAUACAUACACAACAUCAAAACUAAGCAGGUGACUUCAUUAGUUUACUGCUAAGGCAAUGAUUUUUUGUUCUUCGGGCUUCAGGAUUCAGGAGCAGCAGAGUUAUUGGAAACAAAGUAGUAUGAAGCGUCCAAGUAAGUAGUGGGGCCCCGCUGUAAGUUGGAGACGCCGUUUCACCCUUGCCAUUUGCCAACGUAGAAAAAAAUCAGCCCGACGUGGACAGCAACAGAUCCUCUCCCCUUCUCGUCUCUUCUCCAAUGUGGCGGCGCGCGGCAGCGAGGUCGGUGCUCGUGGGACGAGAGCUCUGACUCGAGCCUCCACUACAAAUCACCCGGCAGCAGGAAGCUCUGAUUUCAUUGGUAGGGGGCUCUGCUAUGCGUGAGGUUCUGAAUUCUUAUUGUUUUAUGCUUAUGUUCAUUGUGCAGGUAUCAAUGCUUCUGGAGCAGCAAUCAGCAAUUUUAUGACAUGUUCUUAAGAUGCUAAAUAUGUCAGGUGCCCACAGAGGACACGUGUCGCCGUUGGCGCAGGCGGCUAAAUUUUGUGAUACAUUCUUAAGGGGGGAUUAAAUCUAUCAAAACAGACUUGAAAGGAGCUAAUUAUGCCCAAAAAAAAUAUCCAAAGCAACCAUGCUAGCCGAUGCAAAGCAACAAUCAGCAAGAUACCCCUAUUGCAAAGGAAGUGUAGCAAGAUACACAUGACAGUUGGCAAGUCGUGGCAUCAGACCUCAGUAAGGCCCAAAGAAAUAUAAGACCAGCACUCUAGAGUUAUGCUGGAACCACUAGCAGAGUAAACAAACAGAGUACAUGGAAAAUCUUCAAGUAAGAUGAGCUAAACAUUCUUUCUGCUAUAAUUAUUCUUGUAAGAAAGAAAACGCAGUCCGGAAAAUUAAGGUGAUUCAAGUGCUUGUGCUUCAACUAGGCCCUCAUCCCACCGUCCAUAAACCCACCUGAAAUUAAAAGUUAUGAACAGAGUGAGAUAAACAGCUGGGCAAGUGACAAAAAGUAAGUAUCGCCCAGAAACAGAAAGCUCCAUUAUGUUUGCAACCAUAGUGAAAACACAUUUAACAAGCCAAGCUUGUGUAUGUAUUUCAUAAGCAUCGACAACAAUCUCACUCAUUUAUGGCCAUACAUACAUCUCAAUUGCAUUAUCAUUCUAACCAAGAUAAGAUGUCAUAGCACAAAUGCUUAACAGGCUUGGCACAGAUUGUGGGUCAGCCUUAGUCUACAGUUUGACACAUCAUACACAGUUUACAAAGAGAUGUAGCUCACUAUUCACAACUCAAUUGAACGGGAAGGAGAAUUCACUUUAACCCAACCCCAAUAAGAGAAGUAAAAUAUGGGAUACUGAUCACAAAUAUUGAACAUCACAGUCACCUGCCUUAACCAUGUGACAAAGAUUUGCCGGCGAAGAUGAAACCUGACGUGCGGCACUAGAACCUGAGAAUUAUAAUUAUAAGGUACAGCUCCUUAAAACACUUGUCAAACUAAAAUUAAAUAAAAGACACGCUCCUAUGAUUUGACACGUCACCUCUCUUAUAAUAUAAGUUCACUUCAGGAUUUUGUAUCAGUUAUCUAUACACACAAAUCUCAACUUUACUAUUAUCAAGAAAAUUUAAUUCAAUCAUGCCCAAAGGUUGAAAUUGUGCUACAAGAUAAAUGGGCUACAGUGAAGAAAAACAGAGUAAUGCACAGGAGAGCAGGUUGAAGUCAGACUGCCCUAACUUCUGAUCUACCCAACCAAUCUUCGCAUACUUCUGAUCUUUUUGGUAUGGUAAUGAAAGUACAUACUCCCUCCAUAAAGAAAUAUAAGAGUGUUUAGAUCACUACUUUAGUGAUCUAAACACUCUUAUAUUUCUUCAGAGAGGGAGUACAAUCUAAUAGGAAUAUAGUUUGGAAUCUACAAUCUACCAAGACAUCCAUUUUCAAAAUGUAGAUUGGAAAUUGACCACAACAUACUAAUAGCUAAAAGAUAGCCACACGAAGAUCUAUGAGGAUAGCAAAGGCAUGAUGUGGUCAACGUGGGUUAUUUUUGUCCUGUGUUCCAUCAUUUAUCACAAGUUAGGCUGGAAGCUAAAUACAAGCAACACAGAUUGUUCUGCCACAACGCCCAAGUUAGCACCAACCGAAUGUUUUUAUUAUUUCCACCCGCCGCAACUAAAGAAAAUUUCAUUUCAGGAUAACAAAAGAGCCUUGCUACAAUGCAGCAAGGGUAAACUUUGUGCAGUAUCAGCUGCUGAUAUCCAAAUCCAUUUCUAAUAACAAUAUCGUAACCUCACCUUUGACGCACGCACAUUCCCAUUUCUUACUUCUUCUUCCCCUUUCCUUGACCGCCCUUCGCCAAAAUGGCCCGAUGGGGCCUCCGUCUGCGCGUAAAAGCAAACUCCCCAAGCUUAUGGCCGACCUUCCCCUCGGUGAUCUUGCAGCGGACGUGAGUCUUGCCGUUGUAAAUGAGCACGGUGGAACCGACGAACUCCGGCAGGAUGGAAGACCUGCGAGACCAGAUCUUCUUGCCGUUGAGGUUCUCCCUCUUGUUCUUUAUCCUUUGCAGGAACGCGUCGACGAACGCUCCCUUCCAUAGAGGCCUUGAGCUGCACACACACACAUACAGGACAGCAGGGUAGGGCAUACAUUCGAUUCAAUUUCAAUGUUGAGCGGAUCAGCUAGUUAUCUGUGCACGUACGUAGUGAGUUGAGCUGGUGAUGGUGGUUACCUGAAGGCGCGAGUGAGUGGUCCGAAGCCGGAGAGCAGCGGAGAUGCGGCGUGCUGGGCCCUGGGCGCCUGACCACCACCAGAUCGCGCGCGCGGUGGAACAAACCAGCAUAUCAGAUCAACAUCGGCGGAGGAACAACCAAGAUUUGCAUUUUGAGCAAGGGGCAAGAGUUGGAGGGGGAGGCGGCACCUGAGAGAUGGCCGCGGCGGCGGCGGGGAGGGCGUGCCCGUGGCCGGACCUGGCGAACCUGGAGGCGAUGAGAGAAGCAAUCGCCAUGGCUGCUGCGCUCAGGCGCGGGAUCGGCUCCCCGUAGGAGCGGGCGGCGGCGGCGUGGAGACCGGAGAGACGGAGAGGAGGAGGAGCAAAUCUUCCUUACCGGAACCACACUGUGAGCGGGCCGUGGCCUUUGGCCCAACCCAUGAAGAUGGCCCAGGCUUAUUUUCUUGUGUAGAAAAAAAAGGAGCUAAUCUUUGCGAUAAAGCCCCUGGACUUCUCAUGAAUUACGGAAAGGUCCGACCAGCGUGAAACCCCUUGUCGGAAAUUGCAGUCAAAUGUGAAGUUUUACAUUUUAGUCCUUGUAAUUAACUUUAAUUUUCUAUUAUUAAAUGCUUUCUAGUGCCUCUUAAUAUAAUUGUUAUUGUAGCUUUUAUUAUGCAAGUAAUCUGAAAUUGCUUUAAUCAUGAAUUAUUGCUAGUAAUCCUAUUAUACGCAUGAAAAACUAGAACCGGAUUCAUCAUGGGCACAACUAUCUCGCCUGGAGAUUGGAUGUUGAAAUCAUACUCGAAGGAAGAGGUUUAGGAAACACCGUCGCCGAAGAUUCAGUCGAGGGUGCAGCCCGACAAGGAUUGAGAACUUUGAGGUUCUGCAUUUUCCACGACGUCAUCUCUGGACUAUUCUCAAGAAUGAGUACCUGGCGGAGAGGGACCCCAAGACUCUCUGAAUUUCCCUGAAGAAUAGAUUUCAGAAACUCACGUACACCAUUCAACCUCCCGCAGAGCAUGACUGGAUGAACUUGAGAUUCCUGGACUUCAAAACCGUCGUUGAGUAUAAUUCGGCAGUGCGUAGGGUUUGCACGUAAUUUGGCAAAUGGUUUAUGUUUCUUGACCAUAAUUUUGCUAUGUUUCUGGUGGUACACUUUGUUCUCAAAUCUGAGCAAACCAAACUCAUGUUUGCACCAAGUUUGGGCAAAGCACCCCCUAACUUUGUCCUAUGCACAACUUUCACAUCAUUUGUCCAAUCCCAUGUAUUUUAUAUGCAUUCGGGCCUUCUCAAACCUUGCAUUCUAGAAAUGCAAAUGGUUUUCUAACUUGUUGCUCCCAACAUCAUUUCAUUCCUGGUUACACUUGUAGCCUUCCGAUUCUUGUUUCGACCAUAUCUAGAGUUACACGGGCCUCCUCCUGGAAACAUGUGACCGAGGAGGAAGGAAGGAUAAGUGGCAUCCGUAUUUGCCAAGCGGCACCAAGUGUUUCACAUAUGUUUUUUGUAGAUGAUUCGAUGGUCAUAUUAAAGGCAAUACAGGAGGAGGCCAGUACCCUUCGAGGAAUCCUUGACCUAUAUGAAAAUUGCUCCAGUCAAUUCAUAAAUGUUGAGAAGUCUGCGGUCAUGUUUUGGGCCAAUACUAGUGAACUGGCAAGGAAUCAGAUGAAGAGUGCGCUAGCAGUCCAGAGUGAGAAUUGGAAUGAUCAUUAUCUCAGCUUACCUGUCCAUGUCGGUAGUUAUAAAAAGAAGGUCUUUCGGUACAUAAAAACAACAUGUGCAGCCAAGUGCAUGGGUGGCAGGAGAUGCUUUUAGCUAAGGCAGCGAAGGUAGUUCUAAAAAGAAGGUCUUUGGGUAAAUAAAUUGCAGAAAGGUAUUUUUGGGUUUUUUGGUAUAUGAUGGAAAAUAGACCCGAGGGUCAUAGGUUUCACUAGAGGCUUCUCUCUUGAAGGAAAAUAACACGGUGGGUGAACAAAUUACUGUCAAGCAGUUGAUAGAAAAGCGCAAAGUUAUGACGAUAUCCAAGGCAAUGAUUAUGCAUAUAGGCAUCACGUCCGUGUCAAGUAGACCGGAACGAUUAUAUAUGCAUCUACUACUAUUACUCCACACAUCGACCGACUCCUGCCUGCAUCUAGAGUAUUAAGUUCAUAAGAACAGAGUAACGCAUUAAGUAAGAUGACAUGAUGUAGCGGGAUUAACUCAAGCAAUAUGAUGAAAACCCCAUCUUGUUAUCCUCGAUGGCAAUAAUGCAAUACGUGUCUCGCUACCCCUACUUUGUCACUGGGUGAAAUCAUGCAAGAUUGAACCCAAAGCUAAGCACCUCUCCCAUUGCAAGAAAUACCAAUCUAGUUGGCCAAACUAAACUGAUAAUUCGAAGAGAAAUACAAAGAUAUCAAAUCAUGCAUAUAAGAAUUCAGAGAAGAUUCAAAUAAUAUUCAUAGAUAAGCUGAUCAUAAAUCCAUAAUUCAUCGGAUCUCGACAAACACACCGCAAAAGAAGAUUACAUCGGGUAGAUCUCCAAGAACAUCGAGGAGAACAUUGUAUUGAAGAUCGAAGAGAGAGAAGAAGCCAUCUAGCUACUAGCUAUGGACCCGUAGGUUUGUGGUAAACUACUCACACUUCAUCGGAAGGGCAAUAAACUUGAUGUAGAUGCCCUCCGUGAUCGAUUCCCCCUCCGGCAGAUCGCUGAAAAAGGCCCCAAGAUGGGAUCUCAUGGGAACAGAGGCUUGCGGCAGUGGAAAAGUAUUUUCAUGGACUCCUCUAAUAGUUUGGGAAUAUUUUAGGAUUUAUAUAACUGAGAGGGAGGUCGGUGGACUCCCGGGUGGGGGCCACAAGCCAGGGAGGCGUGCCCUGGAGGCUUGUCACCUCCUCGGGACUCUUCUGACUUGGACUCCAAGUUCCAUGGGUGUCUUCUGGUCCAAGAAAAAUCAUCGCGAAAGUUUUAUUCCGUUUGGACUCCGUUUGGUAUUCCUUUUCUGUAAAAUUCAAAAACAAGGAAAAAACAGAAACUGACACUUGGCUCUGGGUUAAUAGGUUAGUCCCAAAAAUAAUAUAAAAUAGCAUAUUAAUGCAUAUAAAACAUCCAAAACAGAUAAUAUAAUAGCAUGGAACAAUAAAAAAUUAUAGAUACGUUGGAGACGUAUCAAGCAUCCCCAAGCUUAAUACAUGCUCGUCCUCGAGUAGGUAAAUGAUAAAAACAGAAUUUUUGAUGUGGAAUGCUACCUAACAUAUUUAUCCAUGUAAUUUUCUUUAUUGUGGCAUGAAUAUUCAGAUCCAUAAGAUUCAAAAAAAAUAUUGACAUAAAAACAAUAAUACUUCAAGCAUACUAAUAAAGCAAUCAUGUCUUCUCAAAAUAACAUGGCCAAAGAAAGUUAUCCCUGCAAAAUCAUAUAGUCUGGCUAUGCUCCAUCUUCAUCACACAAAGUAUUAAAUCAUGCACAACCCCGAUGACAAGCCAAGAAAUUGUUUCAUACUUUUGAUGUCAAACUUUUUCAACUUUCAUGCAAUACAUGAGCGUGAGCCAUGGAUAUAGCACUAUAGGUGGAAUAGAAUAUGGUCGUUGCGGAGAAGACAAAAAGAAGGAGAUAGUCUCACAUCAACCAGGCGUAUCAACGGGCUAUGGAGAUGCCCAUCAAUAGAUAUCAAUGUGAGUGGGUAGGGAUUGUCAUGCAACCGAUGCACUGGAGCUAUAAGUGUAUGAAAGCUCAAAAAGAAACUAAGUGGGUGUACAUCCAACUCGCUUGCUCACGAAGACCUAGGGCAAUUCCAAGAAGCCCAUCAUUGGAAUAUACAAGUCAAGUUCUAUAAUGAAAAAUUCCCACUAGUAUAUGAAAGUGACAAAAUAGGAGACUCUCUAUCAUGAAUAUCAUGGUGCUACUUUGAAGCACAAGUGUGGAAAAAGGAUAGAGCAUUGCCCCUUCUCUCUUUUCUAUCAUUUUUUAUUUUGGACUCUUUGGCCUCUCUUUUUUUUUCUCUUUUUUUUCUCGUCCGGAGUCUCAUGCUGACUUGUGGGGGAAUCAUAGUCUCCAUUAUCCUUUCCUCACAUGGGACAAUGCUCUAAUAAUGAUGAUCAUCACACUUUUAUUUACUUACAACUCAAGAAUUACAACUCGAUACUAGAACAAAAUAUGACUCUAUAUGAAUGCCUCCGGCGGUGUACCGGGAUGUGCAAUGACUCAAGAGUGACAUGUAUAAAAAAUAUGAAUGGUGGCUUUGCCACAGAUACGAUGUCAACUACAUGACCAUGCAAAGCAAUAUGACAAUGAUGAAGCGUGUCAUAAUAAACGGAACGGUGGAAGUUGCAUGGCAAUAUAUCUCGGAAUGGCUAUGGAAAUGCCAUAAUAGAUAGGUAUGGUGGCUACUAUGAGGAAGGUAUAUGCUGGGUGUAAUGCACUAGCGAGAGUUGCUCGGUACUAGAGAGCGAGGCUAGCAAUGGUGGAAGUGUGAGAGUGUGUAUAAUCCAUGGACUAAACAUUAGUCAUAAAGAACUCACAUAAUUAUUGAAAAAUUCUAUUAGCUAUCGAAAAAAGUACUACGUGCAUGCUCCUAGGGGGGAUAGAUUGGUAGGAAAAGACCAUCGCUCAUCCCUGACCGCCACUCAUAAGGAAGAGAGUCAGUAAAUAAAUCAUGCUCCGACUUCGUCACAUAACGAUUCACCAUACGUGCAUGCUACGGGAAUCACAAAAUUUAACACAAGUAUUUCUACCAAUUCACAAUUACUUACUAGCAUGAUUCUAAUAUCACCAUCUUUAUAUCUCAAAACAAUCAUAAAGAAUCAAACUUCUCAUAUAGCAUUCAAUGCACUUUAUAUGAAAGCUUUUAUUAUCCCUCUUGGAUGCCCAUCAUAUUAGGACUAAAUUCAUAACCUAAGAAAAUUACGAUGCUGUAGAGACUCUCAAAAUAAUAUAAGUGAACCAAGAGAGUUUGUCAAUUUAUAUAAAAUAAAACCACUGACGUGCUCUAAAAAGAUAUAAGUGAAUCACUAGAGCAGAUUGCCUAGCUCAAAAGAUAUAAGUGAAGCACAUAGAGUAUUCUAAUAAAUUCACGGUUAAUGCGUGUCCCUAUCAAAAGGUGUGUACAGCAAGGAUGAUUGUGGUAAACUAAAAAUCAAAGACUCAUAUCAUACAAGACGCUCCAAGCAAAACACAUAUCAUGUGGUGAAUAAAAAUAUAGCCUCAAGUAAAUUUACCGAUCGAUUGAAGACGAAAUAGGGGAUGCCUUCCGGGGCAUCACAAGCUUAGGCGCUUGGUUGUCCUUGAAUAUUACCUUGGGUGCCUUGAGCAUCCCCAAGAUUAGGCUCUUGCCACUCCUUAUUCCAUAGUCCAUCAAAUCUUUAACCAAAACUUGAAAACUUCACAACACAAAACUCAACAGAAAACUCAUGAGAUCCAUUAGUAUAAGAAAACAAAUAACCACUUUUGGUACUGUUGUGAACUCGUUAUUCAUUUAUAUUGGUGUAAUAUCUAAUGUAUUCCACCUUCUCCAUGGUUCGUACCCAACGAUACUACCCAUAGAUUCAUCAAAAUAAGCAAACAACACAUAGAAAACAGAAUCUAUCAAAAACAGAAUAGUCUGUAGCAAUCUGGAAACUUCUAAUACUUAUGUAACUACAAAAAUUGUAAAAAUUUAGGAAAACCUGGGAAAUUUGUAUAUAAAUCUGGUGUAAAAAAUUCAGAUCAAAAUAACGUUUCUAUGAAUUAAUAAAAUUAUUUUACUGGGCGUAAAAGUUUCUGUUUUUCAGCAAGAUCAAAUCAACUAUCACCGUAAGUCAUCCCAAAGGUCUUAGUUGGUUCAAACACUAAUUAAAACACCAAAACACAUCUAACCAGAGGCUAGAUGAUAAAUUUAUUAAAAAACAGAAACAAAAACCAAGAACAAAAAUAAAAAUAAAAUUGGGUUGCCUCCUAAUAAGCGCCAUUGUUCAACGCCCUUAGCUAGGCAGAAAACACACAUCUAGGUAUUGUCAUCUUUGGUAUGCAAUCCGUAAGUAGCUCUCAUAAUAGAUUCAUAAGGUAACUUAAUUUUGUUUCUUGUAAAAUCUUCCAUGCCCUUCCUUAACGGAAAUUUAAUCUAAUGUUUCCUUCUUUCAUAUCAAUAAUUGCACCAAUCGUUCUAAGGAAAGGUCUACCAAGAAUAAUAGGGCAUGUAGGAUUGCAAUCUAUAUCAAGAACAACGAAAUCUACGGGCACAUAAUUCCUAUUUGCAACAGUAAGAACAUCAUUAAUUCUUCCCAUAGGUUUCUUUAUAGUGGAAUCCACUAGAUGCAAAUUUAAUUCUUCCCAUAGGCUAUGGAGGUGGGUUGCUCUCAAACGACAAAAGUCGUGCACUAACUCUGAGCAGCCACCAAUUUAUGGUGUAGGGGGGGUGGGCUAUUUAUAGCCAGGAGGCAACCCGACAUGCUUUGUCCGAAAUGACCCUGGGACACUAAGGAACCGACACGUUUCCAACAACCGGAUUUCAAACACACGCGGCAGCUAUUGGGGAACAUAGUAAUUUUAAAAAAAUCCUACGCACACGCAAGAUCAUGGUGAUGCAUAGCAACGAGAGGGGAGAGUGUUGUCCACAUACCCUCGUAGACCGAAAGCGGAAGCGUAAGCACAACGCGGUUGAUGUAGUCGUACGUCUUCACGAUCCGACCGAUCAAGUACCGAACGUACGGCACCUCCGAGUUCAGCACACGUUCAGCUCGAUGACGUACCACGAACUCCGAUCUAACAGAGCUUUUCGGGAGAGUUCCGUCAGCAUGAUGGCGUGAUGACGGUGUUGAUGAUGCUAUCGACGCAGGGCUUUGCCUAAGCACCGCUACGAUAUUACCGAUGUGGAAUAUGGUGGAGGGGGGCACCGCACACGGCUAAGAGAUCAAGAGAUCAAUUGUUGUGCCUAGAGGUGCCCCCUGCCCCCGUAUAUAAAGGACCAAGGGGGAGGGGGCGGCCGGCCAAGGGAGGGCGCGCCAGGGAGGAGUCCUACUCUCACCCGUAGUAGGACUCCCUCCUUUCCUAGUCCAAGUAGGAGAGAGGAAGGUGUAGGGGAACGCAGCAGAAAACAAAAAAUUUCCGACCUACGCACCAACACAGGACCACUAUGGAGACUGCAUACAUGGUUUGAUCUUUUUCGUUACCGACUCGUAGCGCAGCGGGAAGUAGAGUCGAUGACGAACGGCGGUGCAGAUCCCCGCAGCUAGUAUUUACAACCUCCCAACUGCGAGGAUGUAUACCCUCAUCUGCUCCUCAGACAGCCCUCUGAGAGACGGUCGAACAGCCCCCCGGACGGUGUCGCGGACAGCCCUUCGGGAGGACCUUCGAAACUCGAACGGUCACUCGGACAGCCCUUCGGGAGGACCUUUGAAACUCGGACGGUCACACGGACAGCCCUUCGGGAGGCACUCACGAACUAAGACCGAAACUACGAUCUCUCUACAGAGUUGCACACAUACGGUGUCAUCUAUCCGGCAGGGCUUCGCCGUCCAGAACUAGUUCCUGCCGGAACCCAGACAGCCUUUUGGCUCUACGAAACUGUUUCGCUGGGAGGGAGAGAGAAGCCAGAUCAUGCAUGGCACUUGUAUGUGAGAAAGACUGAGUGUGUAGGGCUGCCCCUCCACCUCUAUUUGUAGGAAAUCCCAAGGGGUAGGGUAGUUUAACACAAAAACCCAAAAUGCACAUGAAUGAAGUCCUUCCUCAAGGGCAUAGGAGUGAAACCAAGGAACAAGAGGGGCUCCAAGGUGGAGCCCCAAGUGUGGCCGGCCACACCCCUUGGGGGGCCCCAUGAGGGCCUCCCAAUACAUCCAUGUCAUCCCUAGAUCUUUUGAGUAAAGCCCCAAAAGGUGGCUUUCCAUAAAAUAUCCCAAAAAGCACUUUCACUAUUCACGACGACAUUUUUUAGCGUCCGUUCGAACUGAAAAUAUUUAUGUGGGCUUAGAACAUUUCCAAUACCCACCAUAAUAAUUUUCAACGCGUUCUGGAACAAUUCCAUUUUAGUGAUUUUCAUCUACGAAACGCAUCUGAAGGGGCUCCGGCAGCUCCGGAACAUUUCCGGUUUUUAUCUCAGAAAAUUCCAAAAAGCUUCUAGAAUGAUUCUGGCACCCUCCAAGAAUUAUGAGGCAUGUGUCGAAACCAAUUUGACUUAAUGGUAUAUCCCGAAACAAAUUUUCGGUAUCAUCGAAACUUAUCCGAUGACCUCUCUCUGCGGUACAAUUCCGCUGUCCGAAACCAUUCCGGUGUCCAAAACUUUUUUCGGUGAUUUUCUCUCAGACUCCCUGUCUAGUAUUCAGCAGAUAGAUGACCCUUAAGCGUGUGACCCUAUAGGUUCGGUGAAGUAUAUACAUGACCCGGAACCUCUUCCGAUCAAUGAUCAACAUCGGAGCCGUGGACACCCAUAUUGACCCCUAUACCCACACGAAUGAAUAUUCGAGUGAACCUCCAGUUGCCCUGUGCCAUUCCUGUUGCUUCGCGAUAUGUUACAAAGACCCGAGGUGAGAUUUACUUGCAUCCCCAUGGAUCAACAACUUGUCCACUAUGCUAGUUACCUCGUUACUGGUUUUGUUCUCUUUUCUCGUUUCCGUGUUCCGGCAUCCCUGUGAUCAAAUCACACUGUGUCUGGCCAGACGAUGAUGGAUACCGUAACACUGAGAGGGCCCGAGAAUAUCUCUCCAUCGUCGGAGGAGCAAAUCCCAAUCUUGAGCUAUCAAGUUACUUGACACACUUUUCCAUGAACCCGUAAGCCGCCGUAAUAGCCACCCAUUUACGGAUGACGUUUAACAAACCCCAAAUUUCAUGAAGCAAGUAUGAAGAAACUCGAUACUCUCAUGGUCUAAGGAAUUAUGCAAACAUUAACCAUCUCUGUGUUAUCAACCAUAAACUUGUGACGAAUGAAUCUCAUAGCAUAACAUCAAUACGGGUCGAUUCAACACAAAUGUUCUCUUAACAUUGUGCCCUCAAAGUUGUUGGCAUAGACAUGCCCAUGACCAGGAAAACAGAAUCAUCAUGCAACACUUGAGCUAGUCUUAGAGGCCAGACUAGGAAUACUUGUUACCGUUUAUUAUUCCACACGUGCAUAUGAGUCUUCCUCCGAGCCUCGUGUUAUUGCAGACUCGAGAACCAUAGCAAUUAUAGCAUGGAACAUAAACAUAAUUAUGAACAUGGAGAUAAGUAAUAGCAUUUAUUAUUGCCUCUAGGGCAUAUCUCCUACAGAAGGAAGGGGAGAAGAAGAGGAAGGAAAGGGGGGGCCGGCCCCCUAGUCCAAUUCGGUUUGGGCUAGGGGGGGCCUAGCUGGCUGCCUCUCCUCUUCCUCCUCAUGGGCCCAUGAGGCCCAAUAACCCCCCGAGGGGUUCCGGUAACCUCCCGAUACUCCGGUACACGUCCGAAACUCCCCGAAACACUUCCGGUGUUCGAACAUAGUCAUCCAAUAUAUCGAUAUUUACGUCUCGACCAUUUCGAGACUCCUCGUCAUGUCCGUGAUCAUAUCUAGGACUCCGAACUACCUUCGGUACAUCAAAACACAAAAACUCAUAAUACCGAUCGUCACCAAACUUUAAGCGUGCGGAUCCUACGGGUUUGAGAACUAUGUAGACAUGACCGAUACAUGUCUCUGGUCAAUAACCAAUAGCAGAACCUAGAUGCUCAUAUUGGCUCCUACAUAUUCUACAAAGAUCUUUAUCAGUCAAACUGCAUAACAACAUACGUUGUUCCCUUUGUCAUCGGUAUGUUACUUGCUCGAGAUUCGAUCGUCGGUAUCUCAAUACCUAGUUCAAUCUCGUUACUGGCAAGUCUGUUUACUAGUUAUGUAAUGCAUCAUCCCACAACUAACUCAUUAGCUACAUUGCUUGCAAGGCUUAUAGUGAUGUGCAUUAUCGAGAGGGCCCAGAGAUACGUCUCCGACAAUCGGAGUGACAAAUCCUAAUCUCGAAAUACGCCAACUCAACAUGUAACUUCGGAGACACCUGUAGAGCUCCUUUAUAAUCACCCAGUUACAUUGUGAAGUUUGGUAGCACACAAAGUGUUACUCCGGUAAACGGGAGUUGCAUAAUCUCAUAAUAGGAACAUGUAUAAGUCAUGAAGAAAGCAAUAGCAACAUACUAAAUGAUCAAGUGCUAAGCUAACGGAAUGGGUCAAGUCAAUCACAUCAUUCUCCUAAUGACGUGAUCCCGUUAAUCAAAUGACAACUCAUGUCUAUGGCUAGGAAACACAACCAUCGUUGAUCAACGAGCUAGUCAAGUAGAGCCAUACUAGUGACACUAUGUUCCUAUGUAUUCACACAUGUAUUAUGUUUCCGGUUAAUACAAUUCUAGCAUGAAUAAUAAACAUUUAUCAUGAUAUAAGGAAAUAAAUAAUAACUUUAUUAUUGCCUCUAGGGCAUAUUUCCUUCAGUCUCCCACUUGCACUAGAGUCAAUAAUCUAGAUUACACGGUAAUGAUUCUAACACGCAUGGAGUCUUGGUGCUGAUCAUGUUUUGCUCGUGGAAGAGGAUUAGUCAACGGGUCUGCGACAUUCAGAUCCGUAUGUAUCUUGCAAAUUUCUAUGUCUCCCACCUGGACUUGGUCCCGGAUGGAAUUGAAGCAUCUCUUGAUGUGCUUGGUUCUCUUGUGAAAUCUGGAUUCCUUUGCCAAGGCAAUUGCACUAGUAUUGUCACAAAAGAUUUUCAUUGGACCCGAUGCACUAAGUAUGACACCUAGAUCGGAUAUGAACUCUUUCUUCCAAACUCCUUCAUUUGCUGCUUCCAAAGCAGCUAUGUACUCCGCUUCACAUGUAGAUCCCGCCACGACGCUUUGUUUAGAACUGCACCAACUGAUAGCUCCACCGUUCAAUAUAAACACGUAUCCGGUUUGCGAUUUAGAAUCGUCCGGAUCAGUGUCAAAGCUUGCAUCGUCGUAACCAUUUACGACUAGCUCUUUUUCAUCUCCAUAAAUGAGAAACAUAUCCUUAGUCCUUUUUAGGUAUUUCAGGAUAUUGUUUACCGCUGUCCGGUGAUCCACUCCUGGAUUACUUUGGUACCUCCCUGCUAAACUUAUUGCUAAGCAUACAUCAGGUCUGGUACACAGCAUUGCAUACAUGAUAGAGCCUAUGGCUGAAGCAUAGAGAACAUCUUUCAUUUUCUCUCUAUCUUCUACGGUGGUCAGGCAUUGAGUCUGACUCAACUUCACACCUUAUAAUACAGGCAAGAACCCUUUCUUUGCUUGAUCCAUUUUGAACUUUUUCAAAACUUUAUCAAGGUAUGUGCUUUAUGAAAGUCCAAUUAAGCGUCUUGAUCUAUCUCUAUAGAUCUUGAUGCCCAAUAUAUAAGCAGUUUCACCGAGGUCUUUCAUUGAAAAACUUUUAUUCAAGUAUCCUUUUAUGCUAUCCAGAAAUUCUAUAUCAUUUUCAAUCAGCAAUAUGUCGUCUACAUAUAAUAUCAGAAAUGCAACAGAGCUCCCACUCACUUUGUUGUAAAUACAGGCUUCUCCAAAAGUAUGUAUAAAACCAUAUGCUUUGAUCACACUAUCAAAGCAUUUAUUCCAACUCUGAGAGGCUUGCACCAGUCCAUAAAUGGAUCGCUGGAGCUUGCACACUUUGUUAGCACUUUUUGGAUCGACAAAACCUUCAGGUUGCAUCAUAUACAACUCUUCUUCUAGAAAUCCAUUCAUGAAUGCAGUUUUGACAUCCAUUUGCCAUAUUUCAUAAUCAUAAAAUGCGGCAAUUGCUAACAUGAUUCAGACAGACUUAAGCAUCGCUACGGGUGAGAAAGUCUCAUCGUAGUCAACCCCUUGAACUUGUCGAAAACCUUUCGCAACAAGUCGAGCUUUGUAGACAGUAACAUUACCAUCAGCGUCAGUAUUAUUCUUGAAGAUCCAUUUAUUUUCGAUGGCUUGACGAUCAUCGGGCAAGUCAACCAAAGUCCAUACUUUGUUCUCAUACAUGGAUCCCAUCUCAGAUUUCAUGGCCUCAAGCCAUUUUGCGGAAUCUGGGCUCAUCAUCGCUUCCUCAUAGUUCGUAGGUUCGCCAUGGUCAAGUAGCAUGACCUCUAGAAUAGGAUUACCGUACCACUCUAGUGCGGAUCUUACUCUGGUUGACCUACGAGGUUCGGUAGUAACUUGAUCUCAAGUUCCAUGAUCAAUAUCAUUAGCUUCCUCACUAAUUGGUGCAGUCGUCACAGGAACCGGUUUCUAUGAUGAACUAAUUUCCAAUAAGGGAGCAGGUACAGUUACCUCAUCAAGUUCUACUUUCCUCCCACUCACUUCUUUCAAGAGAAACUCCUUCUCUAGAAAAGAUCCAAAUUUAGCAACAAAAGUCUUGCCUUCAGAUCUGUGAUAGAAGGUGUACCCAAUAGUCUCCUUUGGGUAUCCUAUGAAGACACAUUUCUCUGAUUUGGGUUCGAGCUUAUCAGGUUGAAGUUUUUUCACAUAAGCAUUGCAGCCCCAAACUUUAAGAAAUGACAACUUUGGUUUCUUGCCAAACCACAGUUCAUAAGGCAUCAUCUCAACGGAUUUUGAUGGUGCCCUAUUUAACGUGAAUGCAGCCGUCUCUAAAGCAUAACCCCAAAACGAUAGCGGUAAAUCAGUAAGAGACAUCAUAGAUCGCACCAUAUCUAGUAAAGUACGAUUACGACGUUCGGACACACCAUUACGUUGUGGUGUUCCGGGUGGCGUGAGUUGCGAAACUAUUCCGCAUUGUUUCAAAUGUAAACCAAACUCGUAACUCAAAUAUCCUCCUCUACGAUUAGAUUGUAGAAACUUUAUUUUCUUAUUACGAUGAUUUUCCACUUCACUCUGAAAUUCUUUGAACUUUUCAAAUGUUUCAGACUUGUGUUUCAUUAAGUAGAUAUACCCAUAUCUGCUCAAAUCAUCAGUGAAGGUGAGAAAAUAACGAUACCCGCCGCGAGCUUCAAUAUUCAUUGGACCACAUACAUCAGUAUGUAUGAUUUCCAAUAAAUCUGUUGCUCGCUCCAUAGUUUCGGAGAACGGCGUUUUAGUCAUCUUGCCCAUGAGGCAUGGUUCGCAAGUACCAAGUGAUUCAUAAUCAAGUGAUUCCAAAAGUCCAUCAGUAUGGAGUUUCUUCGUGUGCUUUACACCAAUAUGACCCAAACGGGAGUGCCACAAAUAAGUUGCACUAUCAUUAUCAACUCUGCAUCUUUUGGCUUCAAGAUUAUGAAUAUGUGUAUCACUACUAUCGAGAUUCAACAAAAAUAGACCACUCUUCAAGGGUGCAUGACCAUAAAAGAUAUUACUCAUAUAAAUAGAACAACCAUUAUUCUCUGAUUUAAAUGAAUAACCGUCUCACAUCAAACAAGAUCCAGUUAUAAUGUUCAUGCUUAACGCUGGCACCAAAUAACAAUUAUUUAGGUCUAAAACUAAUCCCGAAGGUAGAUGUAGAGGUAGCGUGCCGACUGCAAUUAGAUCGACUUUGGAACCAUUUCCCACGUGCAUCGUCACCUCGUCACCUCGUCGUUAGCCAAUCUUCGCUUAAUUUGUAGUCCCUGUUUCGAGUUGCAAAUAUUAGCAACAGAACCGGUAUCAAAUACUCAGGUGCUACUGCGAGCAUUAGUAAGGUACACAUCAAUAACAUGUAUAUCACAUAUACCUUUGUUCACCUUGCCAUCCUUCUUAUCCGCCAAAUACUUGGGGCAGUUCCGCUUCCAGUGACCAGUCUGCUUGCAGUAGAAGCACUCAGUCUCAGGCUUAGGUCCAGACUUGGGUUUCUUCUCUUGAGCAGCAACUUGUUUGCCGUUCUUCUUGAAGUUCCCCUUCUUCUUCCCUUUACUCUUUUUCUUGAAACUCGUGGUGUUGUUGACCAUCAACACUUGAUGCUCCUUUUUGAUUUCUACCUCCGCAGCUUUUAGCAUUGCGAAGAGCUCGGGAAUAGUCUUUUUCAUCCCUUGCAUAUUAUAGUUCAUCACGAAGCUCUUGUAGCUUGGUGGCAGUGAUUGAAGAAUUCUGUCAAUGACACUAUCAUCAGGAAGAUUAACUCCCAGUUGAAUCAAGUGAUUAUUAUACCCAAACAUUUUGAGUAUAUGUUCACUAACAGAACUAUUCUCUUCCAUCUUGUAGCUAUAGAACUUAUUGGAGACUUCAUAUCUCUCAAUCCGGGCAUUUGCUUGAAAUAUUACCUUCAACUCCUGGAACAUCUCAUAUGCUCCAUGACGUUCAAAACGUCGUUGAAGUCCCGGUUCUAAGCUGUAAAGCAUGGCACACUGAACUAUCGAGUAGUCAUCAGCUUUGCUCUGCUAGACGUUCUUAACGUCGUCAGUUGCAUCUGCAGCAGGCCUGACACCAGGGGUGCUUCCAGGACGUAAUUCUUCUGUGCAGCAAUGAGGAUAAUCCUCAAGUUAUGGACCCAGUCCAUGUAAUUGCUACCAUCAUUCUCAACUUAGCUUUCUCAAGGAAUGCAUUAAAAUUCAACGGAACAACAGCACGAGCCAUCUAUCUACAACAAACAUAGACAAGCAAAAUACUAUCAGGUACUAAGUUCAUGAUAAAUUAAAGUUUAAUUAAUCAUAUUACUUAAGAACUCCCACUUAGAUAGACAUCCCUCUAAUCAUCUAAGUGAUCAUGUGAUCCAAAUCAACUAAACCAUGUCCGAUCAUCACGUGAGAUGGAGUAGUUUUCAAUUGUGAACAUCACUAUGUUGAUCAUAUCUACUAUAUGAUUCAUGCUCGACCUUUCGGUCUCGGUGUUCCGAGGCCAUAUCUGUAUAUGCUAGGCUCGUCAAGUUUAACCUGAGUAUUCUGCUGUGCAACUGUUUUGCACCCGUUGUAUUUAAACGUAGAGCCUAUCACACCCGAUCAUCACGUGGUGUCUCAGCACGAAGAACUUUUGCAAUGGUGCAUACUCAGGGAGAACACGUAUACCUUGAAAUUUAGUGAGAGAUCAUCUUAUAAUGCUACCGUCAAUCAAAGCAAAAUAAGAUGCAUAAAGGAUAAAUAUCACAUGCAAUCAAUAUAAGUGAUAUGAUAUGGCCAUUCAUCAUCUUGUGCUUGUGAUCUCCAUCUCCGAAGCACCGUCAUGAUCACCAUCGUCACCUGCGCGACACCUUGGUCUCCAUCGUAGCAUCGUUGUCAUUUCGCCACCUAUUGCUUCUAUGACUAUCGCUACCGCUUAGUGAUAAAGUAAAGCAAUUACAGGGCGAUUACAUUGCAUACAAUAAAGCGACAACUAUAUGGCUCCUGCCAGUUGCCAAUAACUUGGUUACAAAACAUGAUCAUCUCAUACAAUAAAAUAUAGCAUCACGUCUUGACCAUAUCACAUCACAACAUGCCCUGCAAAAACAAGUUAGACGUCCUCUACUUUGUUGUUGCAAGUCUUACGUGGCUGCUACGGGCUGAGCAAGAACCGUUCUUACCUACGCAUCAAAACCACAACGAUAGUUCGUCAAGUUAGUGCUGUUUUAACCUUCUCAAGGACCGGGCGUAGCCAUACUCGGUUCAACUAAAGUUGGAGAAACUGACACCCGCCAACCACCUAUGUGCAAAGCACGUCAGUAGAACCAGUCUCGCGUAAGCGUACGCGUCAUGUCGGUCCAGGCCACUUCAUCCGACAAUACCGCCGAACCAAAGUAUGACUUGCUGGUAAGCAGUAUGACUUGUAUCGCCCACAACUCACUUGUGUUCUACUCGUGCAUAUAACAUCUACGCAUAAAACCUGGCUCGGAUGCCACUGUUGGGGAACGUAGUAAUUUCAAAAAAAACUUCCUACGCACACGCAAGAUCAUGGUGAUGCAUAGCAACGAGAGGGGAGAGUGUUGUCCACGUACCCUCGUAGACCGAAAGCGGAAGCGUAAGCACAACGCGGUUGAUGUAGUCGUAUGUCUUCACGAUCCGAUUGAUCAAGUACCGAACGUAUGGCACCUCCGAGUACAACACACGUUCAGCUCGAUGACGUCCCACGAACUCCGAUCCAGCAGAGCUUUGCGGGAGAGUUCUGUCAGCACGACGGCGUGAUGACGGUGUUGAUGAUGCUACCGACGCAGGGCUUCGCCUAAGCACCGCUACGAUAUUACCGAGGUGGAAUAUGGUGGAGGGGGCACCGCACACGGCUAAGAGAGAGAUCAAUUGUUGUGCCUAGAGGUGCCCCCCUGCCCCUGUAUAUAAAGGACCAAGGGGGAGGGGGCGGCCGGCCAAGGGAGGGCGCGCCAGGGAGCUCCUACUCCCACCAGGAGUAGGACUCCCUCCUUUCCUAGUCCAAGUAGGAGAGGGGAAGGAAGGGGAGGAGAAGAGGAAGGAAAGGGGGGCCGACCCCCUAGUCCAAUUCGGUUUGGGCUAGGGGGGCCGCGCGCCCCUAGCUGGCCGCCUCUCCUCUUCCUCCUCAUGGGCCCAUGAAGCGCAAUAACCCCCCGAGGGGUUCCGGUAACCUCCCGGUACUCCAGUAUACGUCCGAAACUCCCUGAAACACUUCCGGUGUCCGAACAUAGUCAUCCAAUAUAUCGAUCUUUACGUCUCGACCAUUUCGAGACUCCUCGUCAUGUCCGUGAUCAUAUCCGGGACUCCGAACUACCCUCGGUACAUCAAAACACAAAAACUCAUAAUACCAAUCGUCACCAAACUUUAAGCGUGCGGACCCUACGGGUUCGAGAACUAUGUAGACAUGACCGAGACACGUCUCUGGUCAAUAACCAAUAGCGGAACCUGGAUGCUCAUAUUGGCUCCUACAUAUUCUACGAAGAUCUUUAUCGGUCAAACCACAUAACAACAUAUGUUGUUCCCUUUGUCAUCAGUAUGUUACUUGCCCGAGAUUCGAUCGUCGGUAUAUCAAUACCUAGUUCAAUCUCAUUACCGACAAGUCUCUUUACUCAUUAUGUAAUGCGUCAUCCCGCAACUAACUCAUUAACUACAUUGCUUGCAAGGCUUGUAGUGAUGUGCAUUAUCGAGAGGGCCCAGAGAUACCUCUCUGACAAUCGGAGUGACAAAUCCUAAUCUCGAAAUACGCCAACUCAACAUGUACCUUCGGAGACACCUGUAGAGCUCCUUUAUAAUCACCCAGUUACGUUGUGACAUUUGGUAGCACACAAAGUGUUCCUCCGGUAAACAGGAGUUGCAUAAUCUCAUAGUCAUAGGAACAUGUAUAAGUCAUGAAGAAAGCAAUAGCAACAUACUAAAUGAUCAAGUGCUAAGCUAACGGAAUGGGUCAAGUCAAUCACAUCAUUCUCCUAAUGAUGUGAUCCUGUUAAUCAAAUGACAACUCAUGUCUAUGGCUAGGAAACACAACCAUCUUUGAUCAAUGAGCUAGUCAAGUAGAGCCAUACUAGUGACACUAUGUUUGUCUAUGUAUUCACACAUGUAUUAUGUUUCCGGUUAAUACAAUUCUAGCAUGAAUAAUAAACAUUUAUCAUGAUAUAAGGAAAUAAAUAAUAACUUUAUUAUUGCGUCUAGGGCAUAUUUCCUUCACAGCUUCACUUGGGCUACAAGCAAAGCUGACUCAUCCAACUCUGCAUUAGAUUUCCUCUCAUUGUUUUCACUCGAAGACAUAGGAUUUUUGGUAAGCAUCACGUUAGUUUUCUAACUUUGUUCACUUGGACCCUGCUACUUCUUGAGCUUGCGUUGGUUUUUCCCUUGAAGAGGAAAGGGUGAUGCAGCAAAGUAGACUAAGUAUUUCCCUCAGUUUUGAGAACCAAGGUAUCAAUCCAGUAGGAGACAACGCACAAAUCACCGAAUACCUGCACAAACAAUCAAAGAAACUUGCACCCAACGUGAUAAAGGGGUUGUAAAUCCCUUCACGGUUACUUGCAAAAUUGAGAUAUGAUAGAGAUAGAUAAACGAUAAAGUAAAUAUUUUUGGUAUUUUUGUUUAUAGAUUGGAAAGUAAAAGCUUGCAAGAAUAGUAGAUCGGAAGCUUGUAUGAUGGAAAAGAGACUUUAUAUGAUGGAAAAGAGACCCAGGGGCCAUAGGUUUCACUAGAGGCUUCUCUCAAGAUAGAAAAUAAUACGGUGGGUGAACAAAUUACUAUCGAGCAAUUGAUAGAAAAGCGCAAAGUUAUGAUGAUAUCUAAGGCAAUGAUCAUGAACAUAAGCAUCACGUCCGUGUCAAGUAGACCGAAACGAUUCUCCAUCUACUACUAUUAUUCCACACAUUGACACUACAAAAAAAUAAACUUCCGUGAUGAUACGUGUUUGUCACAGUAGGUUGCGUUUUUUGUCAUGCAUGUACAUCCAUGACAAAUUUAUGACAGAAUCAAGAUAGUCAUACAUGUGCUGUCGUAGAAGUGUUCCAUGACAUUACCAAAAUUAUCAUCAUGGAAGUGUCCACUUCCAUGACGAUAAAUCGCGCGCCGCAGAAGUGCUUUCGUCAAGGGUGACCGACACGCGGCAUCCACCGUAACGGAACGCCGUUAAGCUAUCGGGUCGGGUUUUGGUUCCGAUAACCCGUUAACAGCCCCAACCAAUGGGGAUUUUCCACGUGUAAAAUCAUUAUUGGCUAGAGGAAACAUGUGUCGGCUCAUCGUUGGGACAGAUGUCAUCCACUCAUUGGACAGAAGGCGCCUAUGAUACAUCAACACGUGGCACGGCCAAUCAAGUUUAAAUGGGCCGGCCCAACUAAAGGCCCACAAGAUUUUGCAGCCCAUAAUGGGCCGACCCAGUUAAAGGCCCACGAGAUUUUGUGGACUAUAAUGGGCUGGCCCAGCUAAAGGCCCACAAGAUUUUGUGGGCCAUAAUAGGCCGGCCCAGGUAAAGGCCCACAAGAUUUUUGUGUGCCAUAAUGGGCCGGCCCAGGUAAAGGCCCACAAAAUUCUUGCGGAUCAUAAUGGGCCGGCCCAGCUAAAGGCCCGCGAGAUUUCGCCGACAUUAAUGGGCCGGCCCAGCUGUAGGCCCACAAGAUUUUGAGGACCCUAGUAGGCCGGCCCAUUAACUGGCUGCCAUGUUUUGGGCCAAAUGCCGGCCCAUAAUUGAUCCGGUCCAUUAAUGGCCUGCCACAUUCCGGGCCUAAUAAUGGCCCAUAUAAGAUCCGGCCCAUUAAAAGCCUCCCACUUUCUGGGCCAAAUUACGGCCCAGAUCAGGUCCGGCCCUUUAAGAGGCUUUGGGCUCAAUUAUGGCCCAUAUCAGAUUCGGCCCGUUGACUGGACGCUAUGGUUUUGGGCCCACUUGCUAAAGGCCUAUUUAGUAAUUCGGCCUGAUAUUAGUUUCAGCCUUUUAAGGGCCCAUUUAACAUUUCGGCCCUAUAUUAAUUUCGGCCUGUUAAAAGCCCGUCAUAUAGUUGGGCCUAACUACGGCCCGGUUUGCAUCCGGCCUGCUCGCAGCCGAUAUCUGAUUGGGCCAAACAAGGACCGAGACAACUUUGGCUUGUUAAAAGCCCGUGAAAUUGAUUCGCACAAUCAUGGGCCGGGGUCCAUUUCGGGCCGCCGUCGGCCUGUGAGCUAUUCGGCACGUUUCAGGCCCAGCCUACUUCUCAGCCUCCUAAAAGCCCAUUGAGUUUUCUUGCGAAAAGAGGGUCGGGGGUUACUCGGCCUAUUAAAGGCCCGAAUCUACUAGUGGGCCAGUUUAACGGGGCCCAUGAUGCGGAUCAUACAUCGUGAUUGCAUGACGGCCCGAUUAUGUACCGUAAUUUUACGGUUUGGUCGGUUUACUGCGAAGACAAGAUAUAUAUAGAGUAAAAUAACUGCAACAUCGUGAAUAAGAAAAAACCUAGACUAUACAAUAAAGAAAUUACGACAUAUUACAACCACUGGGCAUCAAAGUUCGCCACUAUGAUAAUAAAGCACCAGCAGACAGCAGAUUACAUACACUGGGCAUCAAAGAUCGCCACCAGUGCAAAUAAACACACCGACAAAAUAAUAUACAAAACCGACAGCACUUCAAUAGAGUUCAAGAAAGGUUAGCCCUGCUGGGGAGCUGCAGCGCAAGCAGCUGAGCAAGAUGAUGAGACUGCGCUUGUUCAACACUUAUAUCUUCCUCACUCUGAAAGAUAAACAAGCAGACAGAUGACAUGUUUUGCACAUAAAAGUAUCAGUGCUGACAAUUCAUCACAUUUCUUACUGACGAAUAAAGUGACACAGUUUAAAAUUGCAUUAACACAAUAUGGUAUUGUUCAGGUCAAGACAUGACAGGAAAUGACAUUGUGAAGGAGUUGGCAGCUUCACGACACCACUGGAUUACAGAUCAAGAACUCAUAAGUAUCAAUGGUUAGUGUGUUGUCAAUUUAUCCCAUUUCAGAUUGGCAAAUAAAGAGACGGUUUAAAUAAUAGUAGAAUGAUAUGACAUUGUUCAUAGUUAAGACAUUGCAGAAUAUGACAUUGUGAUGUAGUGGGUAGGUUCACCACACCACUGGAUUACGGAUGAAGAACAGAAGCAUACAUGCAGUGCAAAAGAAGAUCACUUGCUCUGUAUAGUUUAAUUUACAUGGUAUGAAGAAGGAACUUGGUUGUACAACUGAAAACUUAAAUUGAGAAGGACAAACUUUUGUUUAUGAACUACAUAAUAAACUUUAAACAUGCAAUUUGAUGCAAACACCAAAAAUAAACAGUUGUUGUAGUCAUGCCUAACCAAAUAUACACAACAAAGUUUGAAGGCUUGAGAAGGACAAACUUACAUUACUGGUGAAGACAGGCUCUAUAAAGCCCUUGUCCAUGCUAAUGGGGGGGGGGGCAAUUCAAGAAGUUUAGCACAAAAUCUUCUUCAUAAGCAUUGCCUUUAUUCUACAUUUUGUUAAGAGUAAAUAUAGAUGUGAUAAUAUACGAAAAAAUGGAGAAUAUUUAAGAUAAGAUGAAGAGUGAUGCUACAUAACCAAGUAGCUAUAAAUGUAUGUCCAGCGAUACAGGCAAAAGGCACAGCCAAGAGCAAUGCACAGCUAAACUUCUUCAGUAUCAACCUUAUGGUAAGAGUAAAUAUAGAUCUGAUGUGUAGAAAAUGGAGGGGAAAGGAAAAUAAGCUGCAGAGUGAUGGUACAUGAACAACUACCUGUCAAUAUAAGUACACUAAUAAAGGACAGCAUGUACUUACAAGAACAAUGCAGAGCUAAAAAAAUUCAUUGGCAUUGGAUAUAUUCUACACUAAUGUAACCAUUCAUACAGAUCAAAUAAUUUGGAGCGAACAAUUGAUAAGCAAGCUAUCAUGCAUACUGCUGUCACAUAAUGAACCAGGUAUGUAUGCAAGUACAGUGAUACAGGACAACAGGUAUGAACAAGAGCAAAGCAGCAGGCAGCAUAUUUGCGAUAUCCCGUCGUUCUUUUCAAACCGGAAUUCUUCUUCGAGCUAAUUUCCUGCAAAAAAGAUCCGUAAGGCACAUGCGGAAAAGUAGAAGUUCAAAUUGUCAUGUGAUUUCAUAGACAAUACCUCAUCCUGGGAACGAGACCAGUGCAUAGCAAGGUUUUUCCAUUCAAUGUCUUCUAAAUUUAGCACAGGAGACUUCACCAGAAAUUCGUUUAUAGACUUGCCAUCAAAGUGUGAUUUCCUCAGGUAACACCGAUACUGCUGCAAUGCUUCCUUGAAAAGCACAAGCAAGCUUUGCUCGUCAUGACUAUCCAGAUUGACCCUCACCUAGUUACAACAAUGUAAUGUAAAUCAUUGAUGUGUUCGAUCAGCAGAAAACAGGAAAAUAAUAACCAUGAAUAAUAGCACUUACACGUAAGUUGGACAGGAAGAUGUGAAAAUGGUGUUUGUCUUCACUAUAAUCUUCCCAUGAUGGGAAUAUAUGCACGUAGUCCCUAACAACAUUGAAAGCAUUGUCUUUUAAACUGGGAAUAAAUGGAAUGGGGUUCCAAUCUGCAAGAAUUGGCCGUCUCUGCAGUUGGGAUAGGUCUUUGGCCGGUGGACUUGCUGCACCUUUUGCUGGAGUGGGAUUUUUCUGUGGUACGGCUGGUGCUAUGGCAAAUGAAAUCGGUAUACCUUUUGCUGGAGUGCAGGUCCUGUGUGGUGGGGCUAGUGGUGUGGCCAGUGAAGUAUGGGUACAGUCUGCUGGAGUCGGUCCUAUGUUUUGUGUCACUGGUUGUACAGCCAAUAUAAGUGGGGCGCUGUCUGAUUUCUCUGGCACCACCACGUUUUUCAAGGACUUUGCUGGUGCUCCUUCAGGUUCGGCAAUCACCCUCUUCCUUUUUGAUGUCUGAUGCAUAAGAAUAGCAUUUGAGUGGAAAAACAUGGUAUGAUGACAGAUGGAAUAUGUAUUGAUAAUGGAUGGGCAUGGCAUCUCGAGUUAUAUGAUGAGUAAACUAAGCAGAUGGUGGUGCAACAAAGUAGAAGAAAUGCAAGACAACAUAUGCAAGAUACGCGCAAUCAAUAAACCUUGCCAAAUUAGAACAGGCACCUUGAUGGGUGAACAGGACAGGCCAUCUGCCUUUGACUCCUCGAGGUUAGAAUAGUCAUUAGGAUGAUAUUCUGAACAAGAAUCAACAGGUGGGGAGCGUACGAGUUUCAUUGCUUCCAGAAUGGCACUCAAUGCCUUGGUGCCAAUUUUGUAAGUCAUUGCAGUGUUCCACAAUAUUCUUCUGAUGCGCGGAUUCUGAUAUUCAUUGUAAUUGCGUAUAAUAUCUGAGAACCAUGAAAACAUAAAUAGUUGUGAGAUUAUCUUUGUAACGCAGAUGAUAUUCUAAUAUAGGGGCGCCCCUAUAACACUUAUGUGCUAUCACUGGAUUCUGAUGAGAGAGCUCAUGUGUGCUGUAAUAUCGUGCGUGCAUUUACUGGCACAAGUACACAAAAAAUAGGCUCCAGAAGUAAGGAUAGCUGGCAGAUGAUAGGUUCAUAAUAUACUGUAUAGAGAGUUUAUUGCCAAACCAUGAUAACAAGAGCACACAACAACUAGGCAGAUCAUAGUGUACAUAACAGGGGUACACCAUAACAACAAUAUAUAAAUCAGGAAAGUGGAACUGGCUUGAAAAUACGGUGUUGUAUUGCCGCUAGUAAUUGAAAGCCUAUCGAUCAUGUAUACGCCAGCACUAUCGAACAUGGUAAAAAAAGAGCAAGCAGAUUUUGGAUAAUAAAAUGUUGGUUGCGAAGUGCCCACACAUGAUGAACCAGAGCACAUUAAGAAUGCAACUCCCAGCUGUCUCUCGACCAUUUCAGGCGGUUGGAUGAAGAUCCUACAUCUCCUAACCCUUCUUCUUCCUCGUCUCUAAUUCUUCCCAUACAGAACAACGCACGGGCCGCCGACCGGACCACCGGCCCCCACCGCCUGUGUUCCUCCGCCACCCCCACCCCCACCCGCGUCAAGUUUUCUACGUUCGGCGAGGCCCCACAACCACCCGAGCCCCUUGGAUCGCACCGGCGAACUCCGACGAGCUCUGAAAAAUUGACUGGCCCAAUUUUGAAAUUUAGUCUACUGUGAUUUAACUAGUGUGGAAUAUAAAAGGGGAAAACCAUAAGCAUUGGGAGUAUAGUGUUGAGCGUGCCAUGGCGGAUCUGAAGGUGCAAACCGGCCAAAGGCAACUUCGCAACCAAGACAAGAAAUCAGAGUAAAGCAGUGGCGAUCUAUUUUCUUACUGCAAUAAAUAAGUUGAGCAGAUACGAAAGAGUACCGCCUCUGGUGCGGCGUCGUGUACGCAUCUGCUAAGAAUGUGAUGGUGCUGCGGUAGCGAUGGCUGUCGACAGCGUGGAAGAAGAUCUAGAAGGAUAGACGAUGGCGGCGGGGCGCGGUGGACGAGACGGUCGUAGGAGCGGCGCCGGCAAGGUGGACGACGGCGGGGAUGAAGCAAGAGGACGGGAUGCAAGGAUCCCGGUCCGAAGGCAUGGAUGAGAGAGGUUGAUCUCUUGUAAUGGACGGCGGCGUCGGGGUAUCAACUCCGGCAUGGUGGAGGAGGACGGCGGUGGAUGGGGUGGCGGACGGCGGCGGACGGAGGAGGGUGGGGUGGAGAGGGUGUUUUGGCGCCCACGGAGUACGAAUGGGGAAAAGAGAGGUAGAGAGGAAGGGGAACCAUGUAUUCAAGGCGCUCUUGUCUCAAAUGCGAGGAAAUUUACAAACUUAGCCCCCGUUUCAAAUUUCUACUACAUCACAACAACAUUAGUCGGUUGGGGAUAGGACGGUAAUCUCGCAUACACCGAAUAUUUGCCGACGAGAGUUUGUUUUUGGCACCCACCGUGUAUGAAUAUGAAUCGGGGAGGGUGUCAAUUUCGGCCGAGGGCACACUGUGUUUUGGCGCCCACCGUGUAUGAAUCCGGGUGAGAGGCGGUUACGUCACGUUUGGGUGAAAUUACAAACCUACCCCUAUUGAAACCUAUAGAAAUCCAGCAGAUAGGCUUUGCGUGGGAGGGAUAGGCAGUAGUGAUUUCCAUCUCGCAGAUUUUGGUUUCGGGCGGUUACUGCGACUUUCCCCGCUUUGUUCAAAUUUUGCACAAUGCAUGUUUACCGUGCCAACUCAAUUCGAAUCCCGUUUGUAUUCUACUAUUUUUUCGGGCGGGAUCCAUUUUCAAUUGGAAUUACAUUCUAUAUACAUCAUUUUUUAUAUAUACUUUUGAAAGCACAACACCAUUUAUACAUAAAUAUGGUUUACAAAUGGCAUGAUCUCAGAUUCAUAAGGUUGUAUCCAUCAAUUUGGAUUUUCAAAUAUUUGAAACCACUUUAUGUUGAAAUCCAAUGUAUGCAUUCCUCGCUAACUGUCUCCAAUUAAUGUGUGUUUCAUGCGGGUUUUUUAACUUCUCAAACAUGUAUAAUGUGUUUCACACACGCAACAUAUAGUGUAAUCCCGUUUAGACAUUAAUUUCAUAUAAACCAUGCAUUGUUUGUAAUUGAAGAAUCUAUGGAUCACCAAUAUUGAUAAACUAUAUAACAUUACACGUGUGCCCAAAUUCAAAUGAAUAUGCAUGUUUGAUACACCAAUUUGCGUUAUGAUAUUAUCGAUGUCGUGAUCUCCAGUUUAAAUAUUUGAAUCCCCUUUAAUCCAGAUAUUUGUCUCAUAUAGCUAUCACUCAUGUUUAUAUAGGCUAUCUCUUUGGACCUAUACGUGUUCAUUGUCUCUCAGGCAUCUCUCGUGCUACCUGUAUGUCGACAAUGAUCUUUUAUCUUCGUAACACACUGACGACACUCUCUCCCUCGACCUUCAUCACUCUAUCUCUCUCUAAGUAUAUCUCGCUCCCUUCUAUGUGUCUCUAGCUAUGAUUCUCCACGUGGAAUCUCUUUCUCUCACACAAACACAAAACUUUGUCUCCCAGGGUCUCAUUUCUCUCAACUAUUCCCAUGUGUGCCACUCGCACACCCUUCAUACAGAGAUGUCUUUCGCUCCUUAGAUAUGAGAACCUACGACUCUUCCUCUUCAAUAUCUCUUUCUCACACACAAACACA